rnacentral:lncRNA from 1 species
UUGAUGACCGACACGUAAGCGCACCUUGGCUUUUGUCAAUCGUGGAAAUCACUCUGAGACCCCAAAACAGUGAGUAAUAGUCCAUGAAACGGGUCAGAAUCGGGCACAACUGCGAGUGUCUAUGACCGGCACGUAAGCGCACCUUGGGGUUUGUCAAUCAUGGAAAUCACUCUGAGACCCCAAAAUAGUGAGUAAUCAUCCACGAAACGGGCCACAGUCGGUCGAAACUGUGAGUGUUGAUGACUGACACGUAAGUGCACCUUGGGGUUCGUCAAUCGUGGCAAUCACUUCGAUCUCANNNNNNNNNNAUCGUGGGACUCACUCCGGGACCCCAAAACAGUGAGUAAUAGUCCACAAAACGGGCCAGAAUCGGCCGAAACUACGAGUGUUGAUGACCGACACGUAAGCACACCUUGGGGUCCGUCAAUCGUGGGACUCACUCGGGACCCCAAAACAGUGAGUAAUAGUCCACUAAACGGGCAAGAAUCGGCCGAAACUACGAGUGUUGAUGACCGACACGUAAGCGCACCUUGGGGUUCGUCAAUCGUGGAAAUCACUCCGGGACCGCAAAACAGUCAGUAAUAGUCCACGAAACGGGCCAGAACCGGCCAAAACUACGGGUGUUGAUGACAGACACGUAAGCGCACCUUGGGGUUCAUCAAUCGUGGGACUCACUUUGGGACCCCAAAACAGUGAGUAAUAGUCCACGAAACGGGCCAGAAUUAGCCAAAACGGUGAGUGUUGAUGACCGACACGUAAGCGCACCUUGGGGUUCGUCAAUCAUGGAAACCACUCCGGGACACCAAAACAGUGAGUAACAGUCCACGAAACGGGCCAGAGCCAGCCAAAACUGCGAGUNNNNNNNNNNAACUGCGAGUGUCUAUGACCGGCACGUAAGCGCACCUUGGGGUUUGUCAAUCAUGGAAAUCACUCUGAGACCCCAAAAUAGUGAGUAAUCAUCCACGAAACGGGCCACAGUCGGUCGAAACUGUGAGUGUUGAUGACUGACACGUAAGUGCACCUUGGGGUUCGUCAAUCGUGGCAAUCACUUCGAUCUCACAAAACAGUGAGUAAUAGUCCAUGAAACGGGCCAGAAUCGGCCAAAACUGCGAGUGUUGAUGACCUACACGUAAAUGCACCUCAGGCUUCGUUAAUCGUGGAAAUCACUCUAAGACCCCAAAACAGUGAGUAAUAGUCCACGAAACGGGCCAAAAUCGGCCAAUACUGCAAGUGUUGAUGGACUUGAGGUAUCGCACGUUGGGGUUCAACAACCAUGCAAAUCGCUUCGGGACCCCAAAACGGGGAGUAAUAGUCCACGAAACGGGACAGAACCGGCCAAAACUGCUUGUGUUUAUGACCGACACAUAAGCACACCUUGGGGUUCAACAACUAUGCAAAUCACUUUGAGACCCCAAAACAAAGAGUAAUAGUCCAUGAAAUGGGCGAGAAUCGGCCAAAACUGUGAGUAUCCAUGACCGACAUGUAAGCGAUCCUUGGCUUUUGUCAAUCAUGGAAAUCACUCCGAGACCCCAAAACAGUGAGUAAUAAUCCAUGAAACGGGCCAGAAUCAGCCAAAACUGCGAGUGUUGAUGACCGACACGUAAGCACACCUUGGGGUUCGUCAAUCGUGGAAAUCACUCAGAGAUCCCAAAACAGUGAGUAAUAGUCCACGAAAUGGGCCAAAAUCGGCCAAACUGCGAGUGUUGAUGACCGACACGUAAGCGCACCUUGGNNNNNNNNNNNNNNNNNNNNNNNNNNNNNNNNNNNNNNNNNNNNNNNNNNNNNNNNNNNNNNNNNNNNNNNNNNNNNNNNNNNNNNNNNNNNNNNNNNNNNNNNNNNNNNNNNNNNNNNNNNNNNNNNNNNNNNNNNNNNNNNNNNNNNNNNNNNNNNNNNNNNNNNNNNNNNNNNNNNNNNNNNNNNNNNNNNNNNNNNNNNNNNNNNNNNNNNNNNNNNNNNNNNNNNNNNNNNNNNNNNNNNNNNNNNNNNNNNNNNNNNNNNNNNNNNNNNNNNNNNNNNNNNNNNNNNNNNNNNNNNNNNNNNNNNNNNNNNNNNNNNNNNNNNNNNNNNNNNNNNNNNNNNNNNNNNNNNNNNNNNNNNNNNNNNNNNNNNNNNNNNNNNNNNNNNNNNNNNNNNNNNNNNNNNNNNNNNNNNNNNNNNNNNNNNNNNNNNNNNNNNNNNNNNNNNNNNNNNNNNNNNNNNNNNNNNNNNNNNNNNNNNNNNNNNNNNNNNNNNNCCACGAAACAGGCCAGAAUCGGCCAAAACUGCGAGUGUUGAUGACCGACACGUAAACGCACCUCGGGGUUCGUCAAUCGUGGAAAUCACUCCGAGACCCCAAAACAGUGAGUAAUAGUCCACCAAACGGGCUAGAAUCGGCCAAAACUGCGAGCGUUGAUGACCGACAUGUAAGUGCACCUUGGCUUUCGUGAAUCGUGGAAAUCACUCCGAGUCCCCUAAAGAGUGAGUAAUAGUCCACAAAACGGGCUAGAAUCGGCCAAAACUACGAGUGUUGAUGACCGACAGGUAAGUGCACCUUGGGGUUCAACAACUAUGCAACAAGUAUAGGGGGUCGCAAUAGUUUCCGAGGGUAGAGUAUUCAACCCAAAUUUGUUGAUUCGACACAAGGGGAGCCAAAGAAUAUUCUCAAGUAUUAGCAGGUGAGUAGUCAAUUCAACCACACCUGGAAACUUAGUAUCUGCAGCAAGGUGUUUAGUAGCAAAGUAAUAUCAUAGUGGUGGUAAUGGUAACAAAAGUAAAGACAGCAAAAGUAAUGUUUUUUUGUAUUUUGUAUUGAUUGUAACAAUAACAACGGAAAAGUAAAUAAGCGAGAACCAGUAGAUGGAAAACUCGUAGGCACCGGAUCAAUGAUGGAUAAUUAUGUCGGAUGUGGUUCAUCAUGUAAUAGUCAUAACAUAGGGUGACACAGAACUAGCUCCACUUCAUCAAUGUAAUGUAGGCAUGUAUUCCGAAUAUAGUCAUACGUGCUUAUGGAAAAGAACUUGCAUGACAUCUUUUGUCCUUGGCUUAAUCUCGGGUCAAUAUGCUUAAUCUCAGUUCAAAUCGCACUCCGUGGUCAAACUUCCCGAAAGGUCACCCAUCCUCAAACUACUCCAGCCCAAGCACGCUUAACUUCAGAGUUCUAUCCAACCCCAGCAACAGCUCACUUCACAGGCACUUGUUGAUAUAUCUAGCAUAUCAAUCCUAUUAUACCUUGUUGAUGUCUAGGACUUUGUUCAUGUUCAUGACUAUGAUGAAAUUUUGAAAAAUAUUUCAAACUUCCCGGUCAUAUUACGUAUCAUUUUUUGAAAAAAAAUUCAAAAAAAAUGAAAACCAAUUUAUUUUUUUCUGUUACUAGUGGCGCACCACAUCCACGGUGCGCCACUAGUAAGUUUGAAAUUUUUUGAAUUUUUUUGCCUCUAGAUCUUGAAAGCCUCGUAACUUUUUUCUGUUAGGUUUUUGGUGAUUUUGAAAAUGUUUAACGUGGUUCCCCCAGUUAAAUUUGGAUGUAACUUUUCGAGUAGAUGAUUCUUCAUAUAAAAAACUUUUUCAUCCGAGUUCGUAUGCAAAAGUUAUGCCCAUUUUACAAAUUUCCAGAGAGAUUUUGCAAAUAAAGUCGAAAUUCAUAUUUGUAAAUUUUCCCAACAACUAGACCACAUAUCACAUGGGAAACUUAUUUUCUUUUAUUUUUUGACAUUUCCAUCAUUUUCUUUUAUUUUUUUUAAAUUGAAAAGGCGAUCCACACGGGGGGGUGCAUUCGGCAACUUUUGGGCCAAGUUAGUAAUGGCGCACCGUGGGGUGGUGCGCCAUUGAUAGUUAAACUAAUAAUGGCGCACCACACCCACUGUCCACAGGUGCGCCAUUACUAACAAAAAAAAUUUCAAAACUACUAAUGGCGCACGGUGGGUGUGGUGCGCCAUUACUAUGUCAACAUAGUAAUGGCGCACCACACCCAUCGUGCGCCAUUAAUAGUUUUGAAAAAAUUUAAAAAAAUUUACUAAUGGCGCACCGUGGGAUGUGGUGCGCCAUUAGUACUUGCACACUAAUGGCGCACCAACACAUGGUGCGCCAUUAGUAUUUAGUAAUGGCGCACCACAUGUACAGUGCGCCAUUAGUGUCCAUCCCAUCUAUAGCCCUUUUCCUAGUAGUGACUCCUCAAACUGUGGUCAUCACCGAGAAGUAUCCCGAUUAUUGUCACUUCGGGGUUGUCGAAUCAUAACACAUAAUAGGUGACUAUAGACAUGCAAGAUAGGAUCAAGAACACACAUAUAUUCAUGAAAACAUAAUAGGUUCAGAUCUGAAAUCAUGGCACUCGGGCCCUAAUGACAAGCAUUAAGCGUAGCAAAGUCAUAGCAACAUCAAUCUUAGAACAUAGUGGAUACUAGGGAUCAAACCCUAACAAAACUAACUCGAUUACAUGAUAAAUCUCAUCCAACCCAUCACCGUCCAGCAAGCCUACGAUGGAAUUACUCACGCACGGCGGUGAGCAUCAUGAAAUUGGUGAUGGAGGAUGGUUGAUGAUGAUGACGGCGACGAAUCCCCCUCUCUGGAGCCCCGAACGGACUCCAGAUCAUCCCUCCCGAGAGAGAUUAGGGCUUGGCGGCGGCUCCGUAUCGUAAAACGCGAUGAAACUUUUCGCUCUCCUUUUUUUCUCCCUGAAAGCCAGUUGGAGUUGGCGUCGGAGGGCAUCCAGGGGGCCCACGAGGUAGGAGGGCGCGCCCGGGGGGAGGGGCGCGCCCCCCACCCUCGUGGACAGGGUGUGGGCCCCCUAGUCUUCAUCUUUGGCGAGGAUUUUUUAUUAUUUAUUCUAAGAUAUUCCGUGGAGUUUCAGGUCAUUCCGAGAACUUUUGUUUUCUGCACAUAAAACAACAUCAUGGCAAUUCUGCUGAAAACAACGUCAGUCCGGGUUAGUUCCAUUCAAAUCAUACAAGUUAGAGUCCAAAGCAAGGGCAAAAGUGUUUGGAAAAGUAGAUACGAUGGAGACGUAUCAACUCGCCCAAGCUUAAACCCUUGCUUGUCCUCAAGCAAUUCAGUUGAUAAACUGAAAGAGAAAAAAGAAAAACUUGUACAAACACUGUUUGCUCUUGUUGUUGUAAACAUGAAAAGCCAGCAUUCAAGUCUCAGCAAUUAUUAUGAACUAACCAUACUCACAAUGACACGUAGGUCUCACAAUUACUCAUAUCAAUAGCAUAAUCAGCUAGCAAGCCAUAAUAAUAAAACUCGGAUGACAACACUUUCUCAAAAUAAUCAUAACAUGAUAUAACAAAAUGGUAUCUUGCUAGCCCUUUCUGAGACCGCAAAACAUAAAUGCAGAACACCUUUAAAGAUCAAGGACUGAGUAAACAUUGUAAUUCAUGGUAAAAUAGAUCCAAUCAAGUCAUACCCAAUAUAAACCAAUAAUGAUGAAUGCAAACGACAGUGUGCUCUCCAGCGGGUGCUUUUUGCGUAUACUCCAAUAAGAAGGAUGAUGACUCAACAUAAAAGUAAAUAGAUAGGCCCUUCGCAGAGGGAAGCAGGGAUUUGUAGAGGUGCUAGAGGUCGAUUUUGAAAUAGAGAUAAAUUAUAUUUUGAGCGCAUACUUUCACUGUCAACGCAACAACAAUGAGAUGGUUGUAUCUUCCAUACUACAUGCAUUAUAGGCAGUUCCCAAACAGAAUGGUAAAGGUUUAUACUCCCCCUCCUCCACAAGCAUCAAUCCAUGGCUUGCUCAAAACAAUGAGUGCCUCCAACAUUCAACAGGUCCCAUGGGAGUUUUGUUUAAUUAUUUUGAUUUGCUUCGAUCUUUUUGGAUCAUGGGACUGGGCAUCCCGGUUACCGGCCCUUUCUCGUGAAUGAGGAGCGGAGUCCACUCCUCUUGAGAAUAACCCACCUAGCAUGGAAGAUAUAGGCAGCCCUAGUUUCACAUGAGCUGCUCGAGCAUACAAAACAAAAAUUCAUUUGAAGGUUUGGAGUUUGGCACAUACAAAUUUACUUGGAACGGCAGGUAGAUACCGCAUAUAGGAAGGUAUAGUGGACUCUUAUGGAACAACUUUGGGGUUUAAGGAGUUCGGAUGCACAAGCAGUAUUCCCACUUAGUACAGGUGAAGGCUAGCAAAAGACUGGGAAGAGACCAACUGAGAGACGGACAACAGUCGUAAACAUGCAUCAAAAUUAAUUUACACCGAAUACAAGCAUGAGUAGGAUAUAAUCCACCAUGAACUUAAAUAUCAUGAAGGCUAUGUUGAUACGAUUCAACUACACGUGUGAACAUGUGCCAAGUCUAGUCACUCAAUUCAUUUAAAGGAGGAUACCAUCCCAUCAUACCACAUCAUAAUCAUUCUAAUAGCAUGUUGGCACGCAAGGUAAACCAUUAUAACUCAUAGCUAAUCAAGCAUGGCACAAGCAACUAUAAUCUCUAUAAGUCAUUGCAAAUAUGUUUAGUUCAUAAUAGCUGAAUCAGGAACGAUGAAUCAUCAUAUUUACAAAAACAAGAGAGGUCGAGUUCAUACCAGCUUUUCUCAUCCCAAUAAGUCCACCAUAUAUCAUCAUUAUUGCCUUUCACUUGCACGACCGAAUGGUGUGCAUAAUAAUAAGAGUGGACGUGCAUUGGACUAAGCUGGAAUCUGCAAGCAUUCAACUCAAGAGAGAAGACAAGUAAUAUGGGCUCUAUGUUAGAUAAGCAUUAAAGCAUAUAAGAGCCACUAAGCAUUUUCAAUAUAGUCUUCUUGACCCCCAAAGAAAGGAAAAGAAAUAAAAACUAUUUACACGGGAAAGCUCCCAACAAGCAAAAAAACAGGAAAUACUUUUGGGUUUUCUUUUUAAUUAUUACUACUACAGCAGGAAAAAUAGACUAACUAAUUUUUUUUGUUUUUCUAAAGGUUUAUCAAACACACAAGAAGAAAGCUAGAAAAAGAAAUUAAACUAGCAUGGAUAUUACAGUGAAAGAGUAUGAGCACCGACAUCUAUCAAUGAGUGUGUGUGAACAUAAAUGUAAUGUCGGUGAGAAAUACGUACUCCCGCAAGCUUAGGCUUUUGGCCUAAGUUGGUCUAUUGCCAGGGAUAGCCUGGCUGAUACCCGUAGGUGUAGCUGGGGUCGUACUACGAUGUAGAGGAGUCUGAUUGCCACUGGCUGGCAACCGCCUCAGGAUCCCAAGAAUAAACAGACAUUCGUCGAGGCCCAUCUUGUGGCUCUGGUUCCGGGGCUGGUGCAGGAUUCCGAUAGGCUUGAACGGCCGCCCACGGAACAAUGUAAGAACCUGUAGACAAGUUAAACAAAGAGGGAGCAGGCAAAGUAAUAGUCUCAGGGUGAUGUUUAUCAAAGUACAAUUUAUAUUUAAGCUCCCCUUCGCGACUCUUAACAAGAAAAUCAUGCGCUAGCAUACUCUUAUAAUCUAAAUAAGCAUGGGGCAGCGUUGUUUCUUGUUUCUUCUCAUGCCUAAUAGGUAUCUCAAAAUAUUCAGCUAGGCGCGAAGCAUAAAUGCCUCCAAAGAUGGGGCCCUUAGUACGGUUCAGACUUAACCGUCUAGCAACAAUUCCACCCAUACUAACAGAGUUAUUGCGGUAUAAACCAUGGAACAAAAUGAUAAUAUCAGGAAUGCUAAGGUUUCCACAGUUCCCGCGACCAAUCAAGCAACGACUAGCAAAUAAGGCAAAGUAGCGUAAAACAGGAAAAUGUAUGCUAGUAAUUCUUGCAACGGAAACCUUACUGGUUUCUCCCAUAGUGAUAGUGUUAAUAAAAGCUUCUACUUCAUUACGGUGUGGUUCAUCUAAGGUGCCCUCAAAGGGUAUUUUGCAAACCUCGCAAAAUUCAGCUAAUGGCAUCUCUUUAACAACGUCAUAUAAAUGAAACUCUACUGUUGGAGGUGAUUUCUUAGGGAAAAAGUAGAAGUUCUGCACAAAAGUAUUUGUGAGUAAGAGAUACUGAUGACGUUGGUCGCGGAGGAAGUCGGUGAGGCCGACGUUCUCAAUUAAUAGAUAGAAAUUCUCAUAAAUCCCUGCACUCCUCAAGAAUUCAUCGGAAGGCCAUUCACACGGCCGGACGUCCGCGGUGCGAGGCAAAUUAAAUUUGGGCUUCUGCUCUUCUUCCUUUUGUUUUUCCUUCGAGCUUCGGCUCGACGAGCCCCUCAAAAAUCUCUUCAUUAUUUUUUGAAACAAUCUGAAAUUUUUAGUAACUUCAAAUAAAUGUGAACCAAUUUCAGUAAAAUUUAUAGUAACAACUCCCACAAGUGCCUAGAGCCUAUAUAGAGCAUUAGAACUACUUGGAACCAUAUAAAUUUGACAUGCAAGCUCAAGAACAUGGUCACCUAUGCAGCACAAGUUUGCAAUGAAUAAAUCACUAGAACAAAAACUAAUUGGACCAAUGGAGGAGUCACAUACCAAGGAACAAUCUCCCCAAGCAGUUUUGCGAGAGGUGCUUUGAGCAAGGAGAUCGAAAAUCGCAGCAAAAGUUGCUGGAACACGAGCUUGAGUUGGUUUUUCGGGUUUGUGUGAGACAGAGGAAGAAGAUGGAUGCAGGGAUAAGUGGAGGAGGUCCACCGUGGGCCCACGAUGCAGGGGGGCGCGCCCAGGGGGGUAGGGCGCGCCCUCCACCCUCGUGACCAGGUAGCAGCUCCUCCCGCGGUAAUUUUUGCACUAAAAAUCCUCAAAUAUUCCCGAAAAAAUCAUAUUAAAUUGGCAUGGCAUUCUGAGGACUUUUAUUUUCGGAAUAUUUUUAUAUUGCACGGAUAAGUCGGGAGACAGACAGGAAAAUACUAUUUUACUUUAUUUCUAAUAAGUAACAGAAAAUAUAAAGAGGGUACAGAAGGUUGUGCUUCUAGUUUCAUCCAUCUCAUGCUCAUCAAAAGGAAUCCACUAACAAGGUUGAUCAAGUCUUGUUAACAAACUCAUUCCGAUUAACAUGAAACCGGAGAAAUUUCGAAUAACACUAUGUUACCUCAACGGGGAUAUGGACAUCCCCAAUAAUAAGUAUAUCAUAUUUCUUCUUGACAGCGGGGAGAGGAAAUUCAAAACCUCCAAAUAUAAUCGAAGGAAUUUUUCCAAUAGAGUUGAUACUAUAAACUUGAGGUUGUUUCCUCGGAAAGUGUACCGUGUGCUCAUUACCAUUAACAUGAAAAGUGACAUUGCCUUUGUUUCAAUCAAUAACAGCCCCUGCAGUAUUAAGGAAAGGUAUUCCAAGAAUAAUAGACAUACUAUCAUCCUCAGGAAUAUCAAGAAUAACACAGUCCGUUAAAAUAGUAACGUUUGCAACCAGAACAGGCACAUCCUCACAAAUACCGACAGGUAUAGCAGUUGAUUUAUCAGCCAUUUACAAAGAUAUUUCAGUAGGUGUGAACUUAUUCAAGUCAAGUCUACGAUAUAAAGAGAGAGGCAUAACGCUAACACCGGCUCCAAGAUCACAUAAAGCAGUUUUAACAUAAUUUCUUUUAAUGGAGCAUGGUUUAGUAGGUACUCCUGGAUCUCCAAGUUUCUUUGGUAUUCCACCCUUAAAAGUAUAAUUAGCAAGCAUAGUGGAUAUUUCAGCUUCAGGUAUCUUUCUUUUAUUAGUAAUAAUAUCCUUCAUAUACUUAGAAUAAGGAUUUGUUUUGAGCACAUCAGUUAAUCGCAUACGCAAAAAGAUGGGUCUAAUCAUUUCAGCAAAGCGAUUAAAAUCCUCAUCAUCCUUUUUCUUGGAUGGUUUCAGGGGAAAAGGCAUGGGUUUUUGAACCCAUGGUUCCCUUUCUUUACCAUGCUUCCUAGCAAUGAAGUUUCUUUUAUCAUAGUGUUGAUUCCUUGAUUGUGGGUUAUCAAGAUCAACAGCAAGUUCAACUUCUACAUCAUUAUCAUUACUAGGUUGAGAAUCAACAUGAACAUUAUCAUUAACAUUUUCACUAGGUUCAUGUUCAUCACCUGAUUGUGUUUCAGCAUCAGAAAUAGAAAUAUCAUUUGGAUUAUCAGGUGGUUCAGCAAUAGGUUCACUAGAAGUUUGCAUAGUACUAUCAUUUUUCUUUUUCUUCCUUUUAGAAGAACUGGGCAUAUCAACAUUAUUUCUCUGUGAAUCUUGCUCGAUUCUCUUAGGGUGGCCUUCAGGAUACAAAGGUUCCCGAGUCAUUCUACCAGUUCUAGUAGCCACUCUAACGGCAUAAUCAUUUUUCUUACUAUUCAUUUCAUUAAGCACUUCUUUCUAAGCUUUAAGUACUUAUUCUACUUGAGUGGUAACCAUAGAAGCAUGUUUGCUAACCAGUUUAAGUUCACCUCUAAUAUUAGCCAUAUAAUCACUUAAGCGUUUAAUCAUAAAGGUAUUCUGUUUUAAUUGUCUACCAAAAUAAGCAUUAAAGUCAUCUUGCUUAAACAUAAAUUCAUCAAACUAAUCCAAGCACUGACUAGCAAUUUUAGUAGGAGGGACUUUAGUUUUAUCAUAUCUGUAGAGAGAAUUUACCUUUACUACCUGUGUCGGGAUACCGGGAGGUUCUUCAGUAAAUAAGUAAUUGAGAUCAUAUACUUCUUCAACUGGCGGUAAAUUAAGGCCAUGUAUUUCUUCAAUAGGAGGUAAAUUCUUAACAUCUUCAGCUUUAAUACCUUUUUCUUUCAUAGAUUUCUUUGCCUCUUGCAUAUCUUCGGGACUGAGAAAUAGAACACCUCUCUUCUUCGGAGUUGGUUUAGGAAUAGGCUCAGUAAUUGGCUCGGGAGUUGGCUCAGGAGGUGCCCAAUUAUUUUCAUUUGUCAACAUAUUAUUCAAUAGAAUUUCAGCUUCAUCCGGUGUUCUUUCCCUGAAAAGAGAACCAGCACAGCUAUCCAGGUAAUCUCUAGAAGCAUCAGUUAGUCCAUUAUAAAAGAUAUCAAGUAUUUUAGGUUUCUUAAGAGCAUGAUCAGGAAAAGCAUUAAGUAACUUGAGAAGCAUCCCCCAAGCUUGUGGGAGACUCUCCUCUUCAAUUUGCACAAAAUUAUAUAUAUCCCUCAAAGCAGUUUGUUUCUUAUGAGCAGGGAAAUAUUUAGCAGAGAAGUAAUAAACCAUAUCCUGGGGACUUUGCACACAACCAGGAUCAAGAGAAUUAAACCAUAUCUUAGCAUCACCCUUUAAUGAGAACGGAAAUAUUUUGAGUAAAUAAAGGUAGCGUGAUCUCUCAUUAUUAGUAAACAGGGCAUCUAUAUCAUCUAACUUACGAAGAUGUGCCAUAACAGUUUCAGAUUCAUAGUCAUAAAAAGGAUCAGAUUGAACCAAAGUAAUUAUAUCUGGAUCAACAGAAAAAUCAUAAUAAUCCUGAUCAGGAACACAGAUAGGUGAAGUAGCAAAAGCAGGGUCAGGUCUCAUCCUACCUCUAAAAGAUUCUUUACUCCAUUUAACUAGCAACCUAUUACGUUCAAGACUAUCCUAGCAAGCAAGAAUAGCUUCAGCAGAUUCAGCAUUAAAAAGGUAACCCUCAAGAAUAGCAGGCCUAUUUUCAUCAUCACUAACAUCAUCGUGUUCAGUUUCAAUAAUUUCUCUUUCUCUAGACUUAGAAAUUUGUUCAUCUAGAAAUUCACCAAGAGGCACAGUAGUAUCAAGCAUAGAAGUAGUUUCAUCAUAAGUAUCAUGCAUAGCAGAAGUGCCAUUAUCAAUAACAUGCGACAUAUUGGAACGAAUAGCAGAAGCAGGUUUAGGUGUCGCUAGCUUGUUUAUAACAGAAGGUGAAUCAAGUGCAGAGCUAGAUGGCAGUUCCUUAUCUCCCCUCGUAGUUGAGGGAUAAAUAGUUGUCUUAGCGUCUUUCAGGUUCUUCAUAGUGUCCAGCAGAUAUAAAUCCCAAGUGACUAAAAGAAUAGAGCUAUGUUCCCCGGCAAUGGCACCAGAACAAGGUCUUGAUAACCCACAAGUAUAGGGGAUCACAACAGUUUUCGAGGGUAGAGUAUUCAACCCAAAUUUGUUGAUUCAACACAAGGGGAGCCAAAGAAUAUUCUCAAGUAUUAGCAGCUGAGUUGUCAAUUCAACCACACCUGGAAACUUAGUAUCUGCAGCAAAGUGUUUAGUAGCAAAGUAAUAUGAUAGUGGUGGUAAUGGUAACAAAAGUGAAGACAGCAAAAGUAAUGUUUUUGGUAUUUUGUAGUGAUUGUAACAGUAACAAUGGAAAAGUAAAUAAGCGAGAACCAGUAUAUGAAACACUCGUAGGCACCGGAUCAAUGAUGGAUAAUAAUGCCGGAUGUGGUUCAUCAUGUAAUAGUCAUAACAUAGGGUGACACAGAACUAGCUCCAGUUCAUCAAUGUAAAGUAGGCAUGUAUUCCGAAUAUAGUCAUACAUGCUUAUGGAAAAGAACUUGCAUGACAUCUUUUGUCCUACCCUCCCGUGGGAGCGGGGUCCUAUUGGAAACUAAGGGAUAUUAAGGCCUCCUUUUAAUAGAGAACCGGAACAAAGCAUUAGCACAUAGUGAAUACAUGAACUCCUCAAACUAUGGUCAUCACCGAGAAGUAUCCCGAUUAUUGUCACUUCGGGGUUGUCGGAUCAUAACACAUAAUAGGUGACUAUAGACUUGCAAGAUAGGAUCAAGAACACGCAUAUACUCAUGAAAACAUAAUAGCUUCAGAUCUGAAAUCAUGGCACUCGGGCCUUAGUGACAAGCAUUAAGCACAGCAAAGUCAUAGCAACAUCAAUCUCAGAACAUAGUGGAUACUAGGGAUCAAACCCUAACAAAAAUAACUUGAUUACAUGAUAAAUCUCAUCCAACCCAUCACCGUCGAGCAAGCCUACGAUGGAAUUACUCACGGACGGCUGUGAGCAUCAUGAAAUUGGUGAUGGAGGAUGGUUGAUGAUGACGACGGCGACGAAUCCCCCUCUCCGGAGCCCCAAACAGACUCCAGAUUAGCCCUCCCGAGAGAGAUUAGGGCUUGGCGGCGGCUCCGUAUUGGAAAACGCGAUGAAACUUCUCUCUCUGAUUAUUUUCUCCCCGAAAGCCAAUAUAUGGAGUUGGAGUUGGCGUCGGAGGGCAUCCAGGGGGGCCACGAGGUAGGGGGCGCCCCCAGGGGGGAGGGGCGCGCCCCCCACCCUUGUGGACAAAGUGUGGGGCCCCUGGUCUUCAUCUUUGGUGAGGAUUUUUUAUUAUUUAUUCUAAGAUAUUCCGUGGAGUUUCAGGUCAUUCCGAGAACUUUUGUUUUCUGCACAUAAAAUAACAUCAUGGUAAUUCUGCUGAAAACAGCGUCAGUCCGGGUUAGGUCCAUUCAAAUCAUACAAGUUAGAGUCCAAAACAAGGGCAAAAGUGUUUGGAAAAGUAGAUACGAUGGAGACGUAUCAGGACCCCAAAACGAGGAGUAAUAGUCCAUGAAACGGGCCAGAAUCGACCAAAACUGCGAGUGUUGAUGACCGACACGUAAGCGCACCUUCGUCAAUCGUGGAAAUCACUCCGAGACCCCAAAACAGUGAGAGAAUCCCCUUGCAUAAAUGUUCUUUCUCCCCGGCAACGGCGCUAGAAAGUUCUUUGAUUCCUGGUGUCUCACAACACAAGACCCGUUAAGGAACCCCAAGAGGAAGGUAUGAUGAGUACAGCAGAAAGCUUUCCCUCAGUAUGAAACCAAAGUUUAACCGACCAGUAAGAGAAAGAAACCCAUGUCAGCAACAACAUGGAACCUACACACAACACAACCAAAAUACUUUGUACCAACUUAAUAGUGAGGUUGUCAAUCUCACAGGUUUUGCUGAAAACAAAGGAUUAGAUGUGUGGUGCGGAAAAGGUAAUUGUUUGAAGUGAAUGAAAUAGAACAAACAGUAAGAAAGUAGUAGUUGCAGCAGAUGGUACUAUCAGUGUAAAAGAAUGGUCCAGGGUCCACAGUUCACUAGAGGUAUCUCUCCAUAAGAUAAGUAACAUGUUGGGUGAACAAAUUACAGCUGGGCAAUUGACAAAUAGAGAAUGCAUAACAAUGCAUGUACAUGACAUGAUGAUCACUAUGAGAUUCACUUGGGCAUUACAACAUGAUACAUAGACUGUAUCCAACUUCAUAUAUGACUAAUAAUCCACCUCCGAGAUAUCAUCUGAACAACCUUUGGGUAUUAAGUUGCAAGCAACAGAUAAUUGCAUCAAGCAAAGUGUGUAAUGUAAACAAUACAAUUGCCCUUGGAAUAAGGAUUGUUGUUUUCCCCUAGUAGCAACAACAGAUCUACAACCUUAAAAGUUUUUGUCACUCUCCCAGAUUACUAGAGGCAUGAACCUACUAUCGAGCACAAAUACUCCCUCUUAGAAUCACAAGCAAAUACUUGGCCAGAGUAACUACUUGCAACAGAGAGCAUGCAAGAUCAUAAAUAACAUAGAAUGAUAGAUCAAUAAUCAACUUGACAUAAUACUCAAUAUUCAUCGGAUCCCAGCAAACACAGCAUGUAGCAUUACAAUAAGAUGAUCUUGAUCAUGUUAGGCAGCUCACAAGAUCUGAACAUGUUGGCACAAAUAGGAGGAGACAACCAUCUAGCUACUGCUAUGGACCCAUAGUCCAAAGAUGAACUAUUCACACAUCACUCUGGAGGCAGGCAUGCACUACUAGGGAAAAGCCUAUACACAGAAAGUUAAUCGGUCUCUACCGUGCCCCUCGGGACAUGCCAUAGUAGUAGCGCGGGUUUUUAAAACCUCGCUACUACUAAGUUUGAUAGCAGUAGCAUUGGUUUUUAGCCCUCGCUACUACUAAGUGGUACCAUAGUAGUAGCGAGGGGGUAAAAAACCGCGCUACUACUAAAGGUCCCAUUUUCAAACUCUACCCCCUCCUCCUGUGGAUCGCCUUUUCGGUUUUAAAAAAAAUAAAAGAAAAUGAUGAAAAUGUCAAAAAAAUAAAAGAAAAUAAGUUUCCCAUGUGAUAUGUGGUCUAGUUGUUGGGAAAAUUUGCAAAUAUGAAUUUCGACUUUAUUUGCAAAAUCUCUCGAGAAUUUGUAAAAAUGGGCAUAACUUUUGCAUACUAACUCGGAUGAAAAAAAAAAUUAUAUGAAAAAUCAUCUACUCAAAAAGUUACAUCCAAAUUUAACUGGGCGAACCCCGUUAAACAUUUUCAAAAUGCUCAAAAACCAAACAGAAAAAAGUUACAGGGCUUUUAAGAUCUAGAGUGGAAAAAUCGAAAAAAUUUCAAACUGUGUGGUCAACCUGUGGUCAAACAAUGGUCAAACUAAUUAUUCUAGAAUAUUAGUGUUACUCAAUAAUUAUUUUAGUUUUUUUGAAUUUUGGUCAAAUCUGGUCAAACUAUGGUCAAACUGUGGUCAAACUAAUUAUUCAAGAAAUAUUAGUGUUACUAAUUUUUUAGAACAAUAGUUUCAAACUCAAAUAGUGAAAUGUGUGACUUCAUGCUCAAGCUAAAUUCCUGAGGUUAAUAGGAUUGACAUCUUGCUAUUGUCAGGAAAACAACAAGUGCAGACUUGGAAACGAGGGAGAAUAGAACCCGGAAGUUAAGCGUGCUCAGGCUGGAGUAGUGAGAGGAUGGGUGACCGUCCGGGAAGUUAGAUGAUUUGGAAUGAUGAGGGGUGAUUAGAGAUCAAACUGAGCAACGAUGAUAUUUAAGGUUAAAAUAAUUCAGAAAUUUGAAAAUUAGGGGAAAAAAUCGAAAUAUUUUUUCGAAAAAAAUCAAAAAAAACCCGCGCUGGUAGUAGUAGCGCCGGCCCCCGCGCUACUAAUAGGCCCAAAACCUGCGCUGCUGCUAGGCUUUUCCCUAGUAGUGAUGGUGAUGAAGAAGGCCUCCGGUGAUGAUCCCCCUCUCCGGCAGGGCACCGGGAAGAGCUUCAGAACCCUCCCGAUCUAGGGUCGAUGAUGACGGCGGCUACGGAACUUUUCAUGGAAAUAUGGUUUUGUCCUUAGAGUUUUCCCAAGGAGGCGUAUAUAUAGGCGAACAGGCAAGAUCGGUGGAGACCUGGGGGCCCACACCAUAGGGCGGCGCCCCCCGGACGCGCCUGGCCCAGGUGUGGCCGCCCAAGGGCGCUUCUCCGCCUCCCCUUUGGACUAUGUCUUCGUGUCUAAAGAAUAGGAAUGUUGGCUUUUGUUUCUUCCAAUUUUGAGAAUAUUUCUUUACUAAUUUCUCUGAAACACAAAAACAGCAGAAAACAUGAAACUGUCACUGUGGCACUUGUCAAUAGGUUAGUUCCAGAAAAUGCAUUAAAAUGCCACAAAGUGUAGACAAAACAUAAAGGAUUUGGUGCAAAACAAUCAUGUAGCAUCAAAAAUUAUAGAUACGUUUGCAACGUAUCAGGACCCAACUGGCAGCCACCAAAUGGUUUCCUAUACCCCCCUGUUUUCAGUUUUGGCACCAAAUCUAGUGCCGCUUUCCCUCGCCUAUUCCCGCGCUCCCACUCUGGUUCUUGCCGAGGCGAGCACCACACGCAUGUCGCCGCCACCGCACCAUCACCGCUGCUUCCGUGAUGGCUCCAUUGAAGAGGCUGCGGGCGAAGCUCGUCAUCGCCAUCGCUGCUGCUUCUGUGAUGGCGCCGUUGUAGAGGCCGCGCGUGAAGCCCAUCGUCGCCAUUGCCGAUGCUGCCAUGACGGCACCCGAGGUGAAGCCGUGCGGGAAACGCGUGACGCAGAGGCCGAAGGGGAUGUCAGCGAAGGAGUGGGAGGACAUGCUGCCGAUGAGGAGGAUCAUCACGGCGGACCGCAAGGAGCGGCGCUUGCGGAGGUUGGAAGCUGAGAGGGCCGUGGCCGUGGAGGCCGUGCAGGCGGCAUACUUGGAGGAGAGCUUGGGUGAGUGACCGUUUUGCAAGGUCCCAACUCAGGCCAGCAAGGCCAAGGGCGCGAUGCUGAUGAGCUAGAAGACCGUCAACUCCCGCUGCAGUACCUCGCCGUCGCCGUUGUGCUCCUUCUAGGACAGGGAGGGAUGCGUCGCGGCAACACGUCCCCAAUCUCGAUUCUCCUCUCCGGAGGUGGGAGAGAAUAGCCUCUUCCCGGACACCGACUCGAGCGACGUCUUCUCACCGAGCAACCUCAAUGGUGGCCCCUUGCCACAACGAUGGUAUCGCUAAUCUUAACCUGAAUAACCCCUUCCCCGAGUCACUUCAAAUGCGUAGGGGGGCAAUCUCCUUCAACUCCGACGCCGGCGGCUCAUCAUAGCGAGGCCUCGAGCUGUUCUGUGGUGGCCCAUCUGCAGCACGCAAACUAGUCGGUGAAAUGACCAAGGCCGCCACGGCCGAGGCGAUCCAGGGCCUGAUCCGCGGUGGCGAGGAGGGAUACUAGGCAGAAGAAUACAUUUUUUUGUGGAUUGUUGAUAUGUUCUUGUUCAUGUAGUGAUUGAGAACACAUUGGCAGAAACGAGAUGCGGAAAGAAAGAAUCACGAAGAUGACGCUGAUCCUUGGGUUUCUCAAAGGCCAGAAACGCCCCCUUGGGAUGCAGCAGAGUACAGUCAACUCAUUUCUGCAGGGCUAGUGCUGGCACUACUAGAACAGUACGCGGGCAUUGGUACGAUGCAUGAUAACAAAGAAAAGAACAUUUUCCAUGUUCGCAAUGAUGAAGAUGACAUUCUACUUAUGUCCUACACUGUCAUUUUUCGCAGAUUCUUAUGACCAAAACACACUCAGGGGGGCACCAUGGCAAUUUCAGUCACAAGGCGCUAACACUGACAAAUGUAUGGGCAGCCAACUUCAACUAGCUAAUGUGGCAAAUCAAGGUAACGCAUACGAAAAUGAAACAUACUGGUGUGGACAUGAAAAAUAAACUUGCAAAGGAUGGCAAAAGACUCACGAGUUAUGUCGGGAAAAAAUGCAGAACCUUCAUGCAGCACGUGGCAUCAGGCGGCACCCAUGUACCUGCCAUCGACGUCAUACACAGGUGAGUCCAUAAAACGUGAAGUUGCGAAUGGUGAAUUAGCAGAAGGUGCAUAGUUGACAAUUGCAGUUGCCAUGACUAGACAACUGCAAUUGGCAUGACUCAACAACUGCAGUUGCCAUCCCUGGACAACUGCAGUUGCCAUCCCUGGACAACUGCAGUUGCCAUGACUGAACAACUGCAGUUGCCAUUGCCUGGACAACUACAAUUUCCAUGCCAGGACAACUGCAGUUGCCAUGCCAGGACAACUGUAGUUGCCAUGCAAGGACAAACUGCAGCUGCCAUGCAUUGACCAACUACUACCAUGCUUACAGGUUAUUACGGUGGUGCUACCCCGGCAAACGUCUCAUGGCAAGCUUCACAGAUUGUAGAGAGAGCACGUCAAUUUGGUGUUACAGACCACAUAAGAUGGGCACAUGCAGCACAACAAGGUAAGGAAAUUUGAACCACAAAAGAGCACUACAUUUGUUUUUGUGGGAAUAGCAUGUGAGGAAAGAAGAUUUGUAGUAGUGACGGUGGAAAAAAUCAAACAGAAAAUGCUAACAAGUGGUUGUGUGCAAUGAGUGAUAUAUUGUCUUCGGGAUUUGCCAAUUGCUAAAAGCAUGUGUGCAGCACUAAUGGUUGAUCGCAUUUGCCUAGUGAGCUCAAGCCUAGAAUACAAAGUUUUGAUGCUAGAACACACUGGUUGCCAUGUAUUGGCGGCAGUAUUUGCCAUGUAUGUAGGACUGCAGCUGCCAUGCAUAUAGAAUCCAAGUUUCAUACUGAAAGGAGUUGGUUGCCAUGCAUUGGCAACAGUAGUUGCCAUGUUUGUUGGACUGUAGCUACCAUGACUGGACAACUACAGUUGCCAUGCAUGUCCACAUGCAGACUCGCGGCUUGCUAUUUGAAUGAUGUCAUGCCAAAUCACUUGAAGUUGAUGUGCUCCUUUAUGAUAAACAUGUCAUUCAAGCAAAAUCUUACGCUCGUACCUGUUUUUUCUAUUACAGGGCCUACAACUAGAGUGAACAGCGGCACAGGGACAUCGGGAGCUCUAAGCGCACGGAAGACGCGUUCCACCAGCCAGCCAACAUCAUGCCGCAAACAAUGCCGAGUCAGAGUCGGAAAUGGCAAUCAUUCCAGCAAUGCCGACAAGCACCCCUUUGAACACAAGCACUGGCAACACUCAAGUAGAUGAAACUACUGCCGAUACUGAAGUGAAUGAUGAAACUGAUGAUGAAGCACAAGGGGAUGAAGAUGGUGGGCAAUCAGAGGUCGUGGUACCUCAGCCACCGUACGUUGGGUAGAGAUUUGAAUCGUUCGCAAAAGCAAAGGAAUUCUACCAGACAUAUGCAAAGUUCCAUGGGUUUGUGGUCUACACCGAAUACCAUAGGAAGAUUAAGAAAACUAACGAGUACAACAGAGGUGAGAUGAGGUUCCACAAGGCACGAAGGAACAAGAAGGGGAAAGGUGUUGCGCCUGUCAUUCCGGAACGAAAGAGAGGUAUCAUUCUCAAGAUGAAAUGCCCUGUUCGGUGUAAGCUAAACGUAAAUGGAGCACGGUGGGUGGUCACUGAAUAUUUUGACGAGCACAACCACAAACUCAUAAAGAAGUUCGACCUGGUAAAAUUUCUGACCGCCCACACAGGAUUCACCCUCCUCGAGAAGAAAUUCAUAAAGCUGCUACAUGAUUGUAACGUCGGUCCAUCAAGAAUGGUCCAGAUACUAUCACUCAUCCACAGCAAAAAAGGGAUUCUGAGUAGCAUGCCCUACAUACCAGCUGACGUCACAAACCUAAAGGCAAAGUACCGUAGAGAGAGCAAGUUGGCUGACAUAGAGGCCACAAUGGCCUACUUCGAUGAGAAAGCGAAGGAAGAUCCAGAUUUCUUCUACAGGAUAAGGUUGGACAAUAAGGACCGUGUCAGGAACAUAUAUUGGGUGGAUGGUGCUGCAAGAAGAUCCUACAAACAUUUCCGAGAUUGCAUUUCAUUCAACGCGACAUAUCUCACUAAUAUGUACAAGAUGCCAUGCGCUCCAUUCAUAGGAAUAAAUAACAACAAUCAGUCGUUGCAUUUCGGAUGCGGGCUCGUUCGGAACGAAGAAACAGAUGGGUGCGUUUGGUUGUUCAAGGCCUUCUUGGAGUGCAUGGAUGGACUUGCUCCGAUGAACAUAAUAACAAACCAGGACUUUAGCAUGCGUGCAGGCAUAGAGGAGGUCUUUCCGUUGGCAGUGCAUAGGCACUGCAGGUGGCACAUUAUAAAGAAAGCUAAGGAGAUGCUAGGACUGUUCUUUGCUGACCGUCCAGAGCUGCACAAGGCAUUCGAGCUGUGUGUGGACCACAGCUUGACGGUGGAGGAGUUUGAAAGGAGCUGGAUGGCCAUGAUUGAAACAUAUCAAGUCCAAGACAACGAGACUCUUGCUAGCCUAUGGGAGAAGCGAAUGUACUGGGUGCCGGCCUACUUCAUGCAGUGCUUCUUCCUGUUUCUGCAGACUACCCAGCGCAGCAAGGGGUUCAAUGCUGUUUUGAAGCGGUACGUGAGCCCUGACAAAUCAUUGCUACAGUUUUCCAAGCAGUACACAGCUUUGCAACAAAAAAUACUGGGAUCUGAGCUACGGCAAAAAGCGAACACCGCGCUAAAGCAGCCAAAAUUGCUAACGUAUUUACCGAUGGAGAGGCAAAUGAGCAAGAUAUACACCAACAAGAUCUUUAACAAGUAAGUCAGUUGCGUUGCAAUCUUAUUUGCACAAGCAUGAAGGCAGUAGGUGCCAUAUAGAAUGCAAUGCAGUUGCCAUGAUAUGUGGAUGCCAUGUUUAAUGAAUUGUUGUUUGCCAUGUUUACUCAACUGCAGUUGCCAUGUUUAAUGAACUACUGUCUGCCAUGCUUACUCAGCUGCAGUUGCCAUGUUCAAUGAAAUGCAGUUGCCAUGUUUAAUGCAUUGUACUUCCAUUGGGCAUGUUGGUAUGCAAAUGCCAAUGCCAAUUGAAAAUGUUAUGUAGUUGCCAUGUUUACUGAACUGCAUUUGCCAUGUUUACUGAAAUGCAAUUUCCAUGUUUGCUCAAAUGCAAUUGCCAUGUUUACUCAACUGCAGUUGCCAUGUUUAAUAAAUGCAGUUGCCAUGUUUUAUGCACUGUGCUUCCAUUGGGAAUGUUGGUAUGGAAAUGACAAUGGCCAGUUGAAAAUGUACUGAAGUUGCCAUGUCUAGUGUACUACAGUUGACAUGUCUAAUCUACUACAGUUGCCAUGUCUAAUGUACUACAGUUGCCAUGUGUAAUGUACUACAGUUGCCAUGUGUAAUGUACUCUAUUUGUCAUGUUCAAACGAAAUGUACUUCUAUUGGCCAUGACAACAUAAGGUGCUAUAAAAAACAGCACACAAUAUUUUAACAAAAAACACACAAAACUUGAAGAUUCCAGGAAGAAAUAAAGCGUGCCAGCAUGUUCACGGCUUUCCAGCUGGACGAACAUACGUUCAAGGUGUGUUCUAUUUUGGGCAUGUCAGAUUCAGAACCUGAAGACCCGGACAAAGGAAGGAACUACUUCGUGAAAGCCUCGAUAGGCCAAGGCGAAUACUACUGCCAAUGCUGCAAGUUUGAAUAGGACGGCAUUGUGUGCUGUCACAUACUAAAAAUAAUGUACAUGAACGCGAUGACAUGGAUGCCCCGCCAUUUCAUAAGGCGCCGAUGGACUUGGGACGUUGACGAUGCGUUGGCGCCGCAGACAACAAACGCAGUUCUGGCUGGGCAUGACGAGAGAUCGGAGUCAACCAUGGAAGCCGUGAGGCAUGUUGUGUUGACAAAGAACUAUGCUGAGCUAAUUGAUGAAGCGUGCAAGGGUGAUGAGACAGCAAGAGUCGCAGAAAAACACAAGAUGGCCCUGAAAAGAGAGCUUGAUGAGAUCAAGAAGAGGAAAGCUGAGGAACCCUUACACAGGUUCCCCCGCACAUCAAGUGUGCCUUCAUCCACGGGGCCAUCAUCUGAAAACUCGGAGAUAGGAUCUGGAACAGAAAGCACACAAACCCAGGUCAAGAACCUGCCCCGUUCCAUCACAAAGGGGCGUCCAAAAGAGAUAAGAUAUAAAUCGGGAUUGGAGAUUCAAGCAAAACACAAGAAAACAAAGAAAGGGACGGCCAAUCCGUAAUCAACAUUGGGGCACUGUGACAUGGUCCUUGGUGACAUUUUAUUUUGUAAUCUAGAUGUUAUAAAAAAAUUAAAAAUGGGAGAAUGACUCUUGAGGGGCAUCAGAAGUUGAAGAAAAAUGCAUUGAAUGGAUAACUGUAGUUGCCACGUUAUGUGUACUUAAUCGGCCAUGUUAUGUGUAUUUAAUCUGCCAUGCUAUUUUAUACUAAAUAUGCCAUGAUAUUUUAUACUGGAUCUACCAUGGUAAGUAUACUGGAUCUGCCAUGUUAAUUAUACUGGAUCUACCAUGUUAAGUAUACUGGAUCUGCCAUGUUGUUUAUGCUGAAUCUGCCGUGUUGUUUGUACUGAAUCUGCCAUGUUAGCUGUACUGAAAUAUGCCAUGUUAUUUGUAAUGACUCUGCAUCGCGUAUAUUUCCUUGCUAAUUCGACAUGGUUUAGUCACACAUAGUGCGUUGUGUGCAACCUAUGGGACACAAGUUGAAAAAGCGUAAUGUGCAUCAACCGCGGAAAAGGUUAUGGCUACAUGAUCAAACUACCAUGCUAUCCGGUGCAGUUAGCGAUGAAAAAGAAGAAGCAAAUAGCCAAAUGAAAAAUGACGAUAACUUUUACUAACCAUGGCUGAUGAACUACAUUUGCCAUGUUUUAAAACAUCGUAGACGCAUUCGAAACACCAAAAUGGUGCUGCAAAUGAUGAAACCAUAAUAAUAAUGAUAAACAUAAAACGUAUCGGCUAUCACGCCUAAAUAGGUUCACAUCCACAUAUAUAUUACAGAAAAUAUUCAAAUGUCGCUCACACACCACCACAACAUACUAGCCUACGCGGGUUGCAGUCAUAACAUAGCACACGGACAUAGUUUUGAGAAGAACAAAGGUAGUGCCUUACAUUCCUCGGCAACAUAAUGUAAGGUAGGCGUUCGGUAUGGAGCGCCACGUGAUCACUUGUACUUUUUGAUGACUUUCUUGACAGCUUCCUCUAUGAACUCACGUGCUCCGGACCACUUGUUGAAAUCUUCAUUCGUCAACCUAUUCCAUGUGAAAAAUUUCCCGGAGCUCAACGACUGUUGCAGCUGUGAUGACGGGAACCAGUCUACCUUCCCACUUUGCAAGGUAUUCCAACGUGUGAAAGCCACAGUCCAUCCUGCAUAAGAAAAGAAUCAGGUGAACUCGCAAAAAGGACAGAGAAAGCAAUGAUAAACUUCAAUUCAAAUGUAACAAAAAGAGGGGUGGGAUUGGUGUAAUGGGCGCAUGAAGAAAGAGAUAGGAAAUUACAUGUUCCCUUGCUUCGUAGUCGCCAUGUACUCAAUUGGAAAAUGUCUGAUCUGGACCUUUGAGUUUUCGUAGUGACGGUUCCAUGUCUCUUUGAGGUUGUUGAUGAAGAAUUCAGCAUGCGUAGUAAGGUCUGCAUCAGCUGCCGAACGCAUUGAAUCAAGCACCUCAAAGCGUUGGUUCUUCAGGUCAACGCAGAUCGCGUAGUGGUGACCACACUUAUUGUGUGGGUCAUGUGGUGCAAGCUCCUGGAACAUGGGGAACAUGACCUACAAGUAAAAUGAAGGAAAUGAGAAGUAGAGUUCACACGAAGAAUAGCAAGGGGACAAAAAAGUAGAAUCACGUAGAAUGUUUAGUUAUAGUGGGUUGUUAAAAAGAAAGUUGCUGUCCAUGUAUGAACAAAGUUGCCCUGUAUUUUACUUUGAAGUAGCCACAUAGUUUGCACGGGGAUGCAAAUCAAAAAGUCAGUUUACAUGGCAGCUGUUGCCACAUGAAACAUCUGCCUGUUUACUUUGAAGUCACCAUCCCAUAUUUUGCAGGUCACACUGUAAUGCAUGAUUGUUUUGUCGGAAGACAUAUCCAUAUGCUUGUUGAUGUAGUCAAUCCCACAUGCAACUACAAUCGUCGACAUUUUACCGAGUGGCCUCACAGACUCGGCAAGAUCACCCAGGUCGACGUACGUUGCUUCGCAUUGAAUGACCUUGGUUCUGUCCAAACAUGAGUUGUAUGAAAAUGAUAUAACAUGAAAGAAUCAUGUCUACUAAGUAAAAAAAGAAGAACUAAAACGUAAGUGGAUCAUAUCUAGAAAGUACAAAAAAGAUGAAUGGUAAAAAAGAGCAAAGCAAAAUGAGAGAUUAUGUGGUGUGGUCAUUUACACUUUCAGCUCCUUCAUGUGCUUGCUGCUGGCCCUCGCAUUUCCAAAUCUCUUGACAAUAUCGUAUAGCUGGUUCUGCUCCUUUGUGGCCUUGACUUCGGGGACGUAGUCUUCCGCGGGAGGUGGGUGAACUACCCUCUGCUGCCUCACGGAACUAGGGGUGGAACUCCUAAUGGUAUCCUCAGAUACCGUAUCUGCAGGCACGUUGGAACUUGAUUGCCCCUGACCUCGUGAGGACCUCCUCUGCAAUGUUGCCUCCUCAAUCCUGCGGUAAACUUCAUCAAGUGACGGCAAAAUCUCCUCAGGGGUGCCUGCAAGGAUCAAAAUGUGGGUUAGGAUACCUGGAAAACAAAACAAAUGUAGUGCAAAGAGAAAAGGUGCAUGAUAUGAAAUGUAGGUACAAAAACUGGGGAGUUACCAUGUGGAGGCAAAUCCAGUUGCCAGGUGUAUUGCACUGUAAUUUCCAUGUGAAAGAAACUGCAGUUGCCAUGUUGUGUCAACUCCAGUUGCCAUGUGGUUGCCGGAUGAGAAAUGCAGGUGACAUGCUGUAGAAAAUCCAAUUGCAAUGUAUAGAGCAUUGUAGUUGCCAUGUGAAACAAAUACAGUUGCCAUGUUUUAUCAACUUCAGUUGCCAUGUGGUUGCCCGAAUGGAAAAUACAGCAUGGAAAUAAAAAUGUAGGUAAGAUGGUGUAGCAAAUCAGGUUGUCAUGUCAUCACUACACAGGUGUAUACAAGAAAAAGAUAAACGCAGAAGAAAUGUACCUUGGAUGAUUGGCUCUGCGAACUUGACAGCUUUCCUGCCCUCGACCAUUGGCUGCGCCAUCAUUGCGGGCAUACCUCCCGGGAAAGCAAGGGCAACUGGCGUAGGAUCUUGAACAACUGGUUGAUCUUGACUGAUGCCAAGGCUAAAGCUCGGUGGGGUGAAGGCCAUUGGGUGCCUCUCAUGCCUACUGGUCGGACUGCGAACAACUUCCGGGGCAGAAUCCAAUGGUGAAAGAUCAACAAACAUAUCUGAAUCAGCCGCGCCAGAAUCAUCGGUCUUAUUUGUAGGGCGGGGCGUGUUGUCAGCGGUAUCAGCCGCAACUUUCUUGACAAUCUUCUUGUUUGGGCUGUAGGGGACACCAACAUUGACUGGGAGCUUGGAAGUGCGCAGAUUUAAGCUAGGGAUUUUCACUGCGGGUAAAGGCGCAGUCUACUCCAGACAUUCACCUCCAUCACUUGUGCCCGGCUUGACACCUGCAUCAGUUGUACUCCGGUCUUCCGGUUUCUCCAUAACAUUGCUUUUGGCAGGUGGCGGGAACGGUGUGGACGCAGGAACAUAACCAGACUCAUCUCUGCUGCUCCUAGCUACAGCUGGUGCGUUGGGUAUGUCUGUUGAUUGCUUGUGGGGGCUACGACGCCUAGGUGGAAGACCAGCACGCGAAACAGUCACCUUAGCAAUAUUUGCACCGCUAGGAGCUGGAGCUGUUGUGCCAAGACUCUCACCUGUAGAUGACAUAUCAUUAUGAACUGCCACCUCAGCCACUUCUGUCGUGGACACAGGAGUGCCACCACGCACGCGCUUGGAAUUAGAUUCAGAUGAGUGGGAAUCUUCCUUGCUUAGGUUGGUCUCGGGAGCAUCCACUUCAGCGCUUGCUGAUGGGGUGGCUCACAGCAACAUCCUUCAUUGCCAGAAGAGUGGGCAAUAUUUCAGCUGUCCUGGCAGAUACCGACUCGUCACUCCCCGAUGUACGGAUGCCUGUUAUUCUAGCCUGCACAUCUGCAAUCGGCAGAGAUGGUCGGCCACUUGCAUCAGAGUUUGUGGGAACAGUUGACAGUGCAGCAGCAGUUUUGUCGACUAGCGCCUCAUGGACAUCUGAGUUGCCACCUGUUGACAACUUUGAAUGAAGGCGUUUGAGUGGGUCCCUAAUGAUAUGCUUGUCCGCGCGUGUAGUAGUCUUCUUCACCCUGCAAAAAAUAAAGCACAUGAAAAAGGUAUUAAGAAAUGAACAAAAUAUAUUUUCCAUGGUAGAAAUCUAAGAAAAAAAUGAAAAGUAGGUGGAAAAGCUAGUAGUUGCCAUAUAGGUGGAAUAAGAGUUGCCAUGUGGCAUAGUUAGCAGUUGCCAUGCAAAUCCAGCAAGAGUUGCCAUGCUAGCCAACUUGAAGAAUGAUAAAAAUGUCUGAUCUGCCAGGAAUGCAAUUUCAAAAGUAGGUAUGUGGUGAGCACAGAAGCCAAUGCAAAGAUGGAAGUUGCUAUACAGGUACAAAAAGAGAUGCAAUUUGGCCUAGAUAGCAGUUGCCAUGCAAAAACAAGCAGGAGUUGCCAUGCAGUUAAAAAGGAAUGAGAUCAUUUGAAAAACAGCAGUUGCCAUGUGGGACUGAUGACAGAAGCCCAUGUGGCAAGCUUAACCGAUGCAUUGAAAAAUCAAAAAUAUAGCACUAUGGCAAUGAAAGAACAUGAAAACCUACUUUUUGACUGGCUUUCUCAUGUCUGGCAACACGAUAGGAACCCCGGUGUUGGACGUUGUCGUACGAGGAGAUGACCUGGUGGAAGGGGUGUCACCAGCAAUGGGGGCACCUUUGUUCAACCGAGUAGAAACACGGGUUGGCGUUGGUGCCUGUUUCUUCGUAACUGCUCGUCCACCAGCUGUCGCCUCACUGCACGUAUAAGAUGGAGGCAAAAAAGGUGGCAAUUGUUAGACAGCAAACUCAUCACUACUAGAAAAAGGCCUACUAAUGGCGCAUCGGUUUUGCCUACUAAUGGCGCACUACCGGUGCGCCAUUACUAGCACGCCAUUAGUAUUUUUUACUAAUGGCGCACCAUGUAGUGCGCCAUUAGUAUAGCCCACGGUGCGCCAUUAGUAUCUGGUAUACUAAUGGCGCACCACAUAGAAGUGCGCCAUUAGUAUCUGGUAUAAUAAUGGCGCAUCACAUAGAAGUGCGCCAUUAGUAACAUUUUUUUUUCAAAUUUUUUUCUAAAAUUUUUUUCAGAAUUUUUUUUUAAAAAAAAUUCAAAUUUUUCUUAAUCUCAGUUCACUAUGGCUUAAUCUCGGGUCAAUAUGCUUAAUCUCAGGUCAAAUCGCACUCCGUGGUCAAACUUUCCGAAAGGUCACCCAUCCUCACACUACUCCAGCCCAAGCACGCUUAACUUCAGAGUUCUAUCCAACCCCAGCAACAACUCACUUCACAGGCACUUGUUGAUAUAUCUAGCAUAUCAAUCCUGUUAUACCUUGUUGAUGUCAAGGACUUUGUUCAUGUUCAUGACUAUGAUGAAAUUUUGAAAAAUAUUUCAAACUUCCCGAUCAUAUUACGUAUCAUUUUUUGAAAAAAAAUUCAAAAAAAAAUGAAAACCAAUUUUUUUUCUGUUACUAGUGGCGCACCACAUCCACGGUGCGCCACUAGUAAGUUUGAAAUUUUUUGAAUUUUUUUGCCGCUAGAUCUUGAAAGCCUCGUAACUUUUUUCUGUUAGGUUUUUGGGGAUUUUUUUGCCGCUAGAUCUUGAAAGCCUCAUAACUUUUCGAGAAGAUGAUUUUUCAUAUAAAAAACUUUUUCAUCCGAGUUCGUAUGCAAAAGUUAUGCCCAUUUUACAAAUUUCCAUAGAGAUUUUGCAAAUAAAGUCGAAAUUCAUAUUUGUAAAUUUUCCCAAAAACUAGAGCACAUAUCACAUGGGAAUCAUAUUAUCUUUUAUUUUUUUGACAUUUCCAUCAUUUUCUUUUAUUUUUUUUAAAACUGGAAAGGCGAUCCAGGGGGGGUGCAUUCGGUGUUGGGGCAAGUUAGUAAUGGCGCACCGUGGGGUGGUGCGCCAUUACUAGUUUAACUAGUAAUGGCGCACCACACCCACGGUGCGCCAUUACUAGUUUUGAAAAAAAAAAUUAAAAAAUUGAUAUUUUUUUUGAUUUUUUUUUGAAAAAAACUUAGUAAUGGCGCACCAGUGGAAAGUGCGCCAUUACUAGUUAAAACUAGUAAUGGCGCACCGAGACAUGGUGCGCCAUUAGUAACAAAAAUUUUUUUAUUUUUUUUUACUUUUUUUUUCAAAACUACUAAUGGCGCACGACGGAUAUGGUGCGCCAUUACUAUGUCAAUUAGUAAUGGCGCACUAUGCAAUGGUGCGCCAUUAGUAACAAAAAAAUUAUGUUUUUUUUCAAAACUACUAAUGGCGCACCACACACCAGGUGCGCCGUUAGUAAUAUAUUACUAAUGGCGCACCGAGACAUGGUGCGCCAUUAGAAUAUAGUAAUGGCGCACCACAUCACAGGUGCGCCAUUAGUGGCCAUUCCAUCUAUAGCCCUUUUUGUAGUAGUGCAUUGCCGCGCUUAGCAAAACAAAUGCAAAAAGGGGUCAGUCUGUUCAAAAAAUAUAGACAAAACAAAACACUAAGACAAAAUUCGAACCUCCUCCUAGCAGCUACGGGAUCGGUCCUAGACCUCUUGCCAGGAGAACCCUGCCCAACAUCCUCUGGAGCCCUCCCCCUCUUUGAGGGAAACACCCCCUCGCCUCUUGCAGCCGUAUGUUCUUUGACUUUCUCCGGUAGGGGGACAUCUAGUGCAUCCUUGCCCUUCUUACCACCUGCACGAACUUCAACAUGUUCAUCAUCAUCGGUCUCAUGUUGCACGUUCUCCAUGUCAUCGCGAUCAUCCUUGUUGAGACCAGCGUCUCCAUCUAGUUCAUCUUGUGUGUCAGCAAGCUCUUGGGAACUGUUGUAGUAGUACUGACCACAGCAACCAGUUGGCCGAUGUGUCCGUUCUGGGACAAAUGUAGUGAACUGCCUCGCAACCGCGUCGCUGUCAGAGUCAUUAAGGGACGUCCAACCCUCAACCAGCUUCUCGAGCAAGCUGGUCAUUUCGGAUGCAAACUUCCCAAUUAGAUGCUCAACAGGUGCCCUCGCCUAUGCAUGAAACAAGAAGCAGCAAUAACCAACCAUCACUACAGGAAACAGGUAAUUUGCCGUCUGUGGAUUACAGACGGCAAAGACCCAAAUCCAGACGGCAAAGAUUUUGCCGUCAGGAAGCAGACGGCAAACUCAGACGGCAAAGAUAAGUCGGCAAAGAAUGCUUUGUCGUCAGCUUUUUAUCGUACAGACGGCAAAGUAUUUGCCGUCAGCUGAAGUCAUGUUUUUCCGUCAGCCUAUUAACCAACAGACGGCAAAAUCCAGGCUCUUUGCCAUAAGUAAGGCUUCUUCUUUGCCGUCUGCCCUCAAACCCAUAGAUGGCAAACAAUUAUUUAUAUAUAAGAAACAAUAGCAGGUAGUUUGUGUUCCUUUUUUAUUUGUACUUUUAGUUGUUUGAACGGGAGACGCUCGCGAAGGACCCAGAAGCUACUUCAUUGAUAAUUAUUAUUUGCAAGAGUCUACAACUGCCACAAGGACACACCAAAAAAGUGAAAUUACAACACAAAAUGGGAUCUUUACAGGAAAGACCCGAAACACGAGCUGGAAAACGCGAUAUGGUCCAUCUUCUUGCUUGCUUCGACAUCGGACACGAGCUGGAGAGCAGAGGACCCGGGCGAGGCUGGGAGAGCAGCGAGUGGCCCGUCGCGCCCCGCGUCACCCGCCCUCACCAGCACCGGCCACCGCACACCCUUGCACACGCCAGCCGCGACGCCGCCGCUCCUCGAGGCCGGGGCCAGCGCCGGAGGUCGAGGCCGGGGAAGGCCUGCGGGGGUGACGGGGCCGGGGCCAUCACAGGCCGGCGGGGGCGACGAGGCGCGAAGCUGCCGGGGACGACGAGCGAUGGGUCGUGGAGGCCGGGGCCGGCGGGUCGACUGACGAUGAGGCCGGGGCCGGCGGGCAAGAUGGCGGCCAACGUGGUCGGGGUCGGCCGGCGAGGUGGUGACGGGCGCUGGCGGGCGAGAUGGNNNNNNNNNNNNNNNNNNNNNNNNNNNNNNNNNNNNNNNNNNNNNNNNNNNNNNNNNNNNNNNNNNNNNNNNNNNNNNNNNNNNNNNNNNNNNNNNNNNNNNNNNNNNNNNNNNNNNNNNNNNNNNNNNNNNNNNNNNNNNNNNNNNNNNNNNNNNNNNNNNNNNNNNNNNNNNNNNNNNNNNNNNNNNNNNNNNNNNNNNNNNNNNNNNNNNNNNNNNNNNNNNNNNNNNNNNNNNNNNNNNNNNNNNNNNNNNNNNNNNNNNNNNNNNNNNNNNNNNNNNNNNNNNNNNNNNNNNNNNNNNNNNNNNNNNNNNNNNNNNNNNNNNNNNNNNNNNNNNNNNNNNNNNNNNNNNNNNNNNNNNNNNNNNNNNNNNNNNNNNNNNNNNNNNNNNNNNNNNNNNNNNNNNNNNNNNNNNNNNNNNNNNNNNNNNNNNNNNNNNNNNNNNNNNNNNNNNNNNNNNNNNNNNNNNNNNNNNNNNNNNNNNNNNNNNNNNNNNNNNNNNNNNNNNNNNNNNNNNNNNNNNNNNNNNNNNNNNNNNNNNNNNNNNNNNNNNNNNNNNNNNNNNNNNNNNNNNNNNNNNNNNNNNNNNNNNNNNNNNNNNNNNNNNNNNNNNNNNNNNNNNNNNNNNNNNNNNNNNNNNNNNNNNNNNNNNNNNNNNNNNNNNNNNNNNNNNNNNNNNNNNNNNNNNNNNNNNNNNNNNNNNNNNNNNNNNNNNNNNNNNNNNNNNNNNNNNNNNNAAGAUUUCUUUGCCGUCUGUGUUUGUUUUCGCAGACGGCAAAGUGUCUUUGCCGUCUGUGUUUGUUUUGGCAGACGACAAAGUUAGUUUUUGCCGUAUGUGGUUUUUUUCGCAGACGGCAAAGUGACUUUCCCGUCAGUGUUUUCUUUGUCGUCUGCUGAUGACGGCAAACCCUUUCUUUGCCGUCUACCCCGACGAAAAGCUGACGGCAAAGCUGCUCAUAGAUGGCAAACUAGCAGUUUCCUGUAGUGCAUAUUACAAUCACUUGCAGGAGAUCAAAAAUAAUCCAAGGCAACCAUAGAUAUAUAUCUUUGAUUACCUCAGUAGGGCAAGACGGAGCUGAGUGCACGUCCAUCCACUUUCCAAAAUUUUGAGGCCCCCCAAACACGUUGUAGUCUAUAGCAUGGUUGGCGAUCAGCUGGAAAUAACCAAAAAAUAGCUAGGAUGUAAGAGAGAGAAUGAUGAACACUGACUAACUGUUCAUGUAUUGCAAAAUACAACAAAAAAGAAGACGAGAAUAUAAGUUUCAGCACGGAUGAUAGAGUUGCCAUGUGGAGUGAGACAUGGAUAACAUGCGUAGGCAGCCAUGGCUAACAAAGGUAGUCAUCUCUUGUUAACUACAGACGGUUGCCACAUGACGAUUUUUUCAUAUGUUAUGCCGCAAAAAAAUUGUAAGAAUGUCGGGUAGAGAAAGAAACCAGAAUUAACCUGCAGUUUUCCAUAUUUGGUAUCAGUUACCCUGUCUGCUGCAAGCACAGCCUUGACAGCAUCGUAAGUCCACGCAAAAACAACAAACUUGUGCGUAGGCGGCGGGCCUCCUGUCCCAGUGAAAUCCACGGUGGACAGAUCAAGGCAGUCGACGUACAUGAGCUGAUGUACAACAAUUUUAAAAGGAAAGAAAUAUCAGUUGCCAUCAUGGUAUUUUGCAAAAAACAGGCUAAUGUAUGUUCCUACAAUCAUCAAGUUGAAGUGCAUGAAAAGAGAAAAGAAGAAGUUGACAUCUGUCUGUGCUAGUUGCCAUAUGUAUGUGCUAGUUGCCAUCAUAGUAUGAUGGCAGUUGCCAUAUUGUCAUGAUGGCAGUUGCCAUCUUGUUAUGAUCAGGUUGCCAUGCAUGAAUAAAGGUGUUAAAAGAGUGUUCACAGAAAGGACUGGUAAAACAAUACCAUUAAAUGCAGUCGACAACCCUUCUGGUAUAUUUUGCUUGAGAAUGCAUCAUGUAGGAAGUCAGCAAUGAACUUACACCAAUUCAUGUUCUUCACAUCUUUCAAUUUCGCCUGCACCGCACAAUUUUCAGGACAACGAGUUUCCGCAUCAGAAAUCAAAUAGAAAAAACAUCAAAAAAAACUGUCAGUGACUAGCUUGCACAUGACAUCGGAGCCAAAAGAUUGAAGGAAAAUAAUGGAGUAAAGAUAGAUCAUUCACCAGGAUGGGGAAGCAUUUGUUGCUUAGGCGAAGAGAAGUGGUCGUCGCGAAAACAGCUGAGAUGAGGCACAUGAGUAGUUUCGUCUUAAAAACCUCGCCAUGGGUUGUCAUGGCCUACACCGAAUCUGCCAGGAAAGACGUGUUCGGCAUGGAUUCCAACCCACGAAACAAACGGGGGAACAAUGUUUCCUCGAUCUUAUUAUGGACCUCAUACGGGACUUUGAUUUCUCCAUGGGGCACACCCAAAGUUCAACGGCAGUCUUCCACGUCCCGAAAUCACAAAUUCCCUGGAGGCGGGGUCGUAAAUCUCACCAAGCCAGUCGCAUACAGGGUUGACUAGAUUCGUGCACCGGACAUCCAUCAGAGCCUGCAUACCCAUCUCAGCAGCAGCUCCCUUUUGAUCGUCGGUAAAUCUGUCAGUCAAUGAAGUCAGUCGUUCCUGCGAGGCCCUGUUGCGAGUACGUUUCUUCUUCUGCAACAACAGACAAAUGAUCAUUGUUGCCAUGUUUUCACUGUCAUGAAAUUGUAGUUUGUAACAGACGACUGCAAGCUCGAGGUGGCAACCAAUAACAUAUGCAGGAGGAGGAGGGUGUGUGGACAAUUACCCCGUCGCUGUCUUUUCUCCGUCUAGUUGCCCGAUUCUGCUGUGGUGGAUCCAUGAAAUCAUCAUCAUCAUUUUGAUGAUCACCGCGAGCCAUUCUCCUGAGGUAAGAACGGACCAAAUUGUCAGGGUGGAAAUGAAAUGUAGGAAGUAAGCAGUUGCCACCUAACAGAAUGUACUUGCCGCAUGGGCUCAAUUGAAAAUGGCAACUAGUGAAUGCAAAUAUCACCUGAACACACACGCACCCCCCUAUGAUUGUCGAAAACAUAAAUGUGGCAAUGAAGCACAUUGGUUUCAUUUGAAAAAAAUGAGCAGAUCGUAAUGCACUUAAAAACAAAAUGUUGAAGUUGCCAUGUUAGCACAAGAUAUUACGAAAGAAAGCCACAAAUCUCCCACUGCACAAACAUAAAAAGUGCUAGGUUGACAAAUCUCCCAUUGAACACAUGGCAGCUCACACCCUGUCCUCAUACAAAAAUAACUUGCCAUGUGUUCAAUGGCAAAAUGUGCUAGGUUGAAAUUGCCAUGUUAAAAUGCAACACAAAAUUCAAAAAAGCUAUGAAAAACAUCUACUAAACAACCUGAAAUUGCAACGCACACACUGACCUCAUAUCAAAAAUGAGUUGCCAUUUAGUAUGGACAAAUAUGUUCAGAUAUCACAAGUCCGCAUGGCAAAACACAAAACUGGGUCUGCCAUACAAUGAAAUUGCCACAUUAUCCUGCCUAUAACAUGCCAACAGACAUGCUGUGUUCAAACAAAUACUUGCCACAUGGAAAGCAUAUAUAUGGCAUCUGACACAAUUGAUGUGCAAAUUAGUUGCCAUCCAGUGCACAUAGUUGCUGAAACUGACAAGACUACCUAGUUACUAUACUUUGCCAUGCCACAUUAUCCUGUCAGUUGCCACGAAUCAGCGUGGCAAAGCACAAAAAUUUGGGUAUGUAGUACAACCAAUUUGCCACAUUAUCCUGCCUACAACAUGGCAACAACCACAGUGUGUUCACAUAAAUACUUGCUACAUGGAAAACAUAUAUGUGCCAACUGACACAGUUGAUGUGGAGAUUAGUUGCCAUCAAGUGCAAAUGGUUGCUGAAACUGCAAUGACUAUCUAUUUACUAUACUUUGUCGUGCCUACAGUGUGGCAACAGCCAUAGCCUGUGCGCGAAAUUAGUUGCCACAUGGAAAGCAUAUUUGUGGCAACUAUCACAGUCAACCAGGAAAUUAGUUGCCACAUGGAAAGCAUAUUUGUGGCAACUAUCACAGUCAAUCAGGAAAUUAGUUGCCAUACAGUCAUGAUCGUUACUCAAACUACCAUGUUUGUCUUUAUACUGCGCUUUGAAAAACAACUACCUAGAUCUAGGGUUCAAUGACAACUAUCAUGACUUGAAAUUCAUCGCCAAAAUUCUCCACGAACUGAUCGCAAAUAGCAAUUCGAAGCAAUGUGCAACUAUUAGACAGAAAAAACGACGGCCCAAUCCCAAGGCACAACCAGUAUGUGGCUCCGGACAGGCCGAACCCCACCGGAGUGACCGCCACCGCGGCGGCGACGAAACUGCCCAGUGUCACCGAAAACGGCAAGCACAUGACUCCGCCACCGGCAGGAACGCCGGCGCAUCGCGAACCCGCCUGAAUCUCUAUGAAUUUCGAGCGAAGCAUCGAACACGGAGGGCAGGGGAGAAAAUGCAGGCAAGGAUUUUGAGAGUUGGAGGGAGCAUUACCUUCAAUCUGUAGGCGCUCCGGCGAAGCCGCUCCGGUCCGGCGAGCACCACCGACGGCCGCGAAUGCCGUCAACUCUUCCGCCUCCACCGUCGCCUUCUCCCCUCGUCUUCUCCUCCAAUCGACUGAAAUGCGAAGUGAGUUGUGCGAGUAACUGUGGGGAGGAGUAAAUGGAACCGUGAGGGGGAGGGGGGCGAAGUGCGCGACGUGUUUGACCUCAACCAAGGUCGGCGCGUGGCGUGCGGGCGCAGAGCAGUUCCACCGCAUGCCCCCGAGUGGCAACCGCUGACCCCUGGGGGGGGGGGGCAACCGGCGUGUGGGCGAACUAUGUCACUCAUCACACACGCGCCUUGUCCUACGUGGAAUAGAAAAUCGGCCAGAACGUGCCAAGAUUCGUGCAUAUACUGCUGGACGGCGAUGGAUGCAUGUGGUUGAGAUGGUUAACGCCCACACGUGUGGGCGUUAACAUUUCCGUUUUUAGCUAAGGGAGAUGUGUGACUUGUACAAGGCCGAAAACAAGGGGCAGGAGUUCGCCUUCAUGCACAUUUUCAACAAACUUGAAAAGUGCAAAAUAUGGGAGAAGGUGCGCUACGAGCACAACCAUGGCAAGCCCUUCGACGUGAACGCGCCGGCGGAUGCUUCGGCUGGCCGGCCUGAAGGGCACAAGAAGGCCAAGGCCGCGAGGAAUGCGCAUGACGCUGAAGAUGAGGCCGAGUACAAGAAGCUGCUCGCCGACGUCAAGACCAGCCACGCUCAACGCAAUGACGCCAAUGAGGCAAGGUGGAGGGAGGUCCUCGACACCGCCCAACAGAAGACGCAGAUCGAGGCGGCCAAGGUCAAUGUCGCCAAGGUGGAGGUCCAGGCCAGCAUGAUCCACGCGAUCAACGCGCAGAUGGCCGAGGAGGCGAACAUCUUGAGCAGGGACACGUCCAACCUGGCCGUGGAUAUCCAGCUCUGGUACGCCGACCGUCGUGCCCACAUCCUGGGGGCGUCGAGGGCUGCAAGGGCAUCUGGGACAUCAGCACCGACGUGGCCAAAUCAAGCUGCACCGGCGUGGACACCUCCAUCAGCACCGGCGUCGGCAUCGGCAUCGGCAUCGACCGAGCCAGCACCUGCAAUGACUGAACCAGCGGCGACGAUCAUCAUCGACGCCGACGCACAGCCCAUUUGAUAUCUACAGUGGUACCUCGCUGAUAUGGCGUUUUGGGGCAGCUGGACCCGUGUUGUUUUGAACUUUAAUUGGCCGAUGUGGCCGUACUUGCGAACUUAAAUCUGACCGGUGUCGCUGGUGUUAUCGAAUUUGAUGCUUUUUGUAUUGUUUUGGGGCUAAAUUUGUUUUGGGAAUGAUCGUUGAGGGCGGUCACCGGUGAAGAGAUGCCCCAAACGCGCAGCAGUUUAGACGAGCCACCCAAACGCACUUGCCGGUGCUGCCAGCCCCGGUUUAGGUAGUGGAGAUGACCUUCGUUUUAGUAGCAAAAAGGGUCGUGCGUUGCAACGGGAGAAUAAAAAAUACCACACGCUCUUAAUUUACAAAAAAUGUUUUAUAAUCUGAGAAUGUGUAGCUAUUUCUUAAAUACAUGAAGAGUUAAGAAGGUUGUGAAAAAGAUACAAGAUUUUUUAAUCAUAAAAAGAGGUUUGUUUUGUUUGAAAAGAACAUUUUUUUAUGGUUUCCUGUUGACGCAGGUACUCGCGCCCCUAUUUCAUCACUAUUUCUUGUCAUAUAUGUCAUAGUUAUUUUUCUCUGUUUCAUCACUGUUUAUUUCUUAUCAAACUACUCUUUUAUUUUACUUUUGGUCAUGCAUGUCCUCUUUUUCUUCUUCUUAUAUAUAGGAGAAUAGCGCAACAUCUCAUCUUUAUUAGAUCUCCUCUGUAUUUUUUUUAUUUAUUUUAUAGCGGACAUCCCAUUUUUGUUGGGUCCUUUUAUUUCUUGUCAUGCAUGUCCUUAUUUAUUGGGUGUCUCUAAAAAAAUUAUCUUCAAUCUGAUGUCCAAUCCUGAUUUUGGUGAUGUGUUCAUCCCAAAUCCGAAUCAGUAUCGGUAUGAAAAAAAGAUGGAUAAUGCAUUGUUGAUUAACAUUGCAGUCUAGGUAGUAAUUUUUUAAAAAUUUAACAGGUAAAUAACAUUAUAUUUAGAUUAUACAUAAUUUUCUAAUGAAAUUCCAUAUAUAAUAUGUUAAUUUUGGAGUUACGGUUUAAAAGAUAUGACUAUUUUAAAAAACAUUUGAUAUAUACUGCGUGUUUAAUGUCAAAAACAUCAAAAGGUUUCUAUAAAAUAGUAUGACGGGCUAAUAAUAUCUAUUUCUUUUAUUAGUAGGUAUAGAUAUUAUCAACUCUUCCUGAACCAUAUACCAACCGUGCAUCCUCUUUUUUUAUAAAAAAUAUAUAUACCAACCGUGCAAGGUGGAGGCUGGUGCCGUAUCGUGGAACUCGAGGUCCGCAUCGUGACCACAGGGCGCCCAUGCAUUCGCCCAAUUAUGUACAUAGAUGCAUAGAAAACCAUAUCUCAACGUGCAUCGAGCCGGCGAGUCAACUCGUGGUUGGAUGGUUAGUGGGACUGUGGUAUCCCCAAUCCACCAGGGUUCAAAUACUGGUGCUCGCAUUUAUUUCUAAAUUUAUUUCAGGAUUUCCGGCGAUGCGCAUUCAAUGGGAGGAGACGUUCCCGUCAACGACGAGGCGCCUACGGUGACUUCGUAAAUCUCAAGAUGAUAUGCCGCCUCAGUCUUUCAGAGGUGCUCAUAAGGGUAGGAUGUGCGUGUUUGCCUUUAUAAGGAUGAGUGUAUGCACGUGUCUAUGAGCGCUUGUGUGUACUGAUGUUAAAAAAACAUGCAUCGAGCCGGUUCAUCACGGUGAAAGAGACACUGCAACGGCAAUGCGCGUCCACAGUCAGUACUACUUUGUUCCAUGCGGCGACAGGAAUCUGACACAGAUCUAUGUCUCUCACUCUUGUGUUGCUGCUUAAUCACUGAAAUCAGAGGUAAAAUUUGGAGCUAGGGUUCGGAGUAGAAGGAAAGGGGAUCGAGAUGAGAGCCAGGGGGUGGGAAGGAGGAGCUCGCCCAACGGCGCCGAUACAGAGUAGUGAUCCAACGAUGCCGAAACCCUCCACACGCAACCCUCUAAGUACACACUCACUGGACCCAGUCCUCUCCCUGGACUCGUGGGUUGGGCCGACGCCCUCUCUUGGGCCGGCCCUGUUGGGCCGGGUGACUUGGCAUUCCCGUGACAUUCCCCCCUCCUUGAGAUGUGGCUUGUCCCCAAGCCAAUGCAUGGGGAAAUCUUGACUUGAGGGGACUUCAUCUUCCCAGGAGGCGAGCGACGCUGGAAAGCCUGACCACUUGACGAACACCUGGUCAAUCGUGCGCGUCCCGCGAGAUAUCGUGCGCCGCCCAAGGAUGGCUUCAGGGACUUGAAGUUGAAGGAGAUCUUGGUCCAGCACAGGCAGCUCAGGAAGGGCCGUCGUGGAAGGAGGCAGCCCAGCUCGAAGUUGAGAGACAUGAAUGACCGGAUGUAUCUUGGCAGGCAGAGCAAGCCGGUACGCCACCUCGCCCACACGAGCGAGAACCUGAAAAGGACCAAAGUACCUGAAAGCCAAUUUGUGGUUAGCACGAGCCACCACAGAGGAUUGUGCGUAAGGUUGCAGCUUCAGGUAGACCUAGUCGCCGACUGCAAACACAUGAUCUGACCGAUGCCUGUCAGCCUUGCUCUUCAUGACUUGAUUGGCCCGAUGAAGAUGUUGCUUCAGGAGACCCAUCACUGCUGCUCUGUCACGGGUCCAUGCAGCUAGAUCCUUGACUGUGUCGUCAGCGAUGUUGGUGAUGCCAAAGAAACGUGGUUUGUGACCGUACAGAACCUCAAAUGAAGAUGUCUUCAACGUCGAGUGAUAUGAUGUGUUGUACCAGAAUUCGGCCAGUGCCAGCCAUUGUGCCCACUUAGUCGGGCAGUUGUGAAUGAAGUAGUGCAGAUAGAGCUCCAUGCAUUGGUUCACCCGCUCUAUGGUAUCAUCCGUCUGCGGGUGGCGUGCUGAAGAAAUGUUGAGAGUAAUGUGGGUCAACUUGCAUAGUUCCUGCCACACUUUGCUGGUGAAGACCCGAUCGCGUUCAGACACCAUCUUGUCUGGGGGCCCGUGCAAUUUUAAAACAUUGUUCAUGUAUGCCUUGGCGACUUGGAGAGCUGUGAAUGGGUGUCGAAGUGGGAUAAAAUGUGCAUACCGAGUCAGUUUGUCAACGACGACCAGAAUGGAGUUGUACCCCAUGGAAGUGGGCAGUCCUUCGACAAAAUCAACGGUCGCCAUCUCCCAAGCAUGUUCAGGAACAAGGAGGGGUUGGAGUAGCCCAGGGUACCGGACGUGUUCGGGUUUUGCUUGUUCGCAGACAAAACAUCGGCCGAUGAACAUAUUGACUGUAUGCUUGAGCUUGGGCCAAGCAAAAAGCUUCAUCACUCGACUGUAAGUUGCUUGUACGCCAGAGUGGCCUCCAAUUGCGCCUGCAUGUAGUUCUUGUAACACUUUCUGUUGGCUGUCCACGUCAUUGCCCAACCAGACUCGCCCUUUGUAGCGAAUCAGCCCGUCAGUGAUCGAGAAAGGCCCUGCUAAUUUCACUCCUUGGGCAUGCAAGGCUAGCAUGCGACAGCAGUCAGGAUCUUUCCUAUAGUUCUGCUUGACAUCUUCAAGCCAGGUGGGUACGCAAACUGAGACCGCGAUCACCAUUGCAUGGUCUGUAGGCUGUCGAGAGAGAGCGUUUGCUGCCAAAUUAUUAGCCCCUUGUCGAUACUCAAUCUUGUAUUGCAGUCCAAGUAGCUUGGUCAGAGCUUUGUGUUGCCAUGGGGUGGUGAGUUUCUGUUCAUCCAAGCAAGUGAGGCUCCGAUGAUCCGUGCGGAUAGUGAAUUCUGAAAGAAGAAGGUACGGUCGCCAUCUAUCUAGUGCCAUCAGGAUAGCGAGACACUCUUUCUCAUAUGUGGACAAUGCCCGGUGUCAUGGACCCAAAGCCUGACUGAGGAAGACCACUGGAUGUUGUUGUUGCAUCAGGACAGCGCCAAUACCAAUGUCAGAUGCGUCCGUCUCCACCACGAACGGCUUGGCAAAGUUGGGCAGGGCCAGCACAGGGGCUGUGGUCAGUGCUGUCUUGAGAGACUCGAACGCCUGUUCGUGAUCUGCCGUCCACACAAAAGGAACGCCUUUCUUCAGUAGCUCUGUGAUGCCUCAAUUGAUCACCCCAUAGUGUCGAACGAACUUGCGAUAAUAUCCUGCUAGUCCAAGGAACUAGCGAAGCUCCUUAAUAGAUGAUGGCGAAGACCAGUUCUGCACUUUCUCGAUGUUGCGAGGGUUCGUAUGUCCUCCUUCCGCACUGAUGACAUGACCCAAGUAUCGGAGUUGCGGCUGCGCAAACGCGCAUUUCUUCAGCUUGACCUUGAGAGAGUACCGCUCCAAUCGCUGAAACACUGCCCGUAACAACAGCACAUGCUCCUUCAAGGUUGCACCAAACACCAGAAUGUCGUCAAUAUACACUAGAACCCCUUUUCGCACAAAUGGCGCAAGAACUAUAUGCAUAGCAGACUGAAAUGUGAAAGGCCCUCCAGUGACACCUUGUGGAAUUACUUUGAACUCGAAAUGCCCGUGAUGUGUCUGAAACGCUGUUUUAGCUUCGUCCCCAGGUCGCAUCCGGAUUUGAUGAUAUCCAGAGCGAAGAUCCAGACUUGUGAAGAACGUGGCACCGUGCAAUUCAUCCAGUAACUCAUCGAUGAUGGGAAUGGGGUAGCGAGUUUUGAGGGUGAUCGCAUUGAGGAAGUGAUAGUCGAUGCAGAAUCGCCAUUCCCCAUCUUUUUUUAAACCAAAAGCACGGGGGACGAUAAGGGACUGCGACUGAGCUGUAUGAUACCUUGCCGAAGCAUUUCUGUCACUUGUUGCUCAAAUUCGUCCUUCUGCGAAGGCUGUACCUAUACGAGCUCUGUUAACUGGUUGUGCUCUAGGAAUGAGCUCAAUGACAUGGUCGAAUUCCCAGUGAGGUGGUAGUCCACUGGGUUCCUUGAAUAGCUCAGGUAAAUCUUGAAGCAGCUCCUCAAUAACAGUUGGGACCGGGGCUUGAUCCACUUUAGGUUUGCUGGCUGACAAUAAGAGGAUGUGAGCAAUGUCUGUACGCGACUGCAAGAGAUUGAUCUGAGCCAUAGAGAUCAUAUGGCAAGUUGUUGUCCGUUGAGACUGUUGGGGAACGUAGUAAUUUCAAAAAAAUUCCUACGUACACGCAAGAUCAUGGUGAUGGCAUAGCAACGAGAGGGGAGAGUGUUGUCCACGUACCCUCGUAGACCGUAAGCGGAAGCGUUAUGACAACGCGGUUGAUGUAGUCGUACGUCUUCACGAUCCGACCGAUCCAAGUACCGAACGUACGGCACCUCCGAGUUCAGCACACGUUCAGCUCGAUGACGUUCCCCGGGCUCCGAUCCAGCAAAGCUUCGGGGAUGUGUUCCGUCAGCACGACGGCGUGGUGACGAUGAUGAUGCUCUACCGACGCAGGGCUUCGCCUAAACUCCGCGACGAUAUGACCGAGGUGGAAUAUGGUGGAAGGGGGCACCGCACACGGCUAAGGAACGAUCCGUAGAUCAACUUGUGUGUCUAUGGGGUGCCCCCCGCCCCCGUAUAUAAAGGAGCCAGGGGGGAGGAGGCGGCCGGCCAAGGAGGGCGCGCCAAGGGGAGUCCUACUCCCACCGGGAGUAGGACUCCCUCCUUCCUUGUUGGAGUAGGAGAAGGGGGAAAGAGGGGGAGAGGAGGAAGGAAAAGGGGGCCGCACCCCUUGUCCAAUUCGGACCAGAGGGGGGCUGCACGCCUCCUUCCUUUCGGCCUCUCUCCUCUAUUUCCGUAUGGCCCAAUAAGGCCCAUAUACUCCCCGGCGAAUUCCCGUAACUCUCCGGUACUCCGAAAAAUACCCGAAUCACUCGGAACCUUUCCGAAGUCCAAAUAUAGUCGUACAAUAUAUCGAUCUUUACGUCUUGACCAUUUCGAGACUCCUCGUCAUGUCCCCGAUCUCAUCCGGGACUCCGAACUCCUUCGGUACAUCAAAACACAUAAACUCAUAAUAUAACUGUCAUCGAAACCUUAAGCGUGCGGACCCUACGGGUUCGAGAACUAUGUAGACAUGACCUACAACUAUUCUCGGUCAAUAACCAAUAGCGGAACCUAGAUGCCCAUAUUGGUUCCUACAUAUUCUACGAAGAUCUUUAUCGGUCAAACCGCAUAACAACAUACGUUGUUCCCUUUGUCAUCGGUAUAUUACUUGCCCGAGAUUUGAUCGUCGGUAUCCAAUACCUAGUUCAAUCUCGUUACCGGCAAGUCUUUUUACUCGUUACGUAAUGCAUCAUCCCGUAACCAACUCAUUGGUCACAUUGCUUGCAAGGCUUAUAGUGAUGUGCAUUACCGAGAGGGCCCAGAGAUACCUCUCCGACAAUCGGAGUGACAAAACCUAAUCUCGAAAUACGCCAACUCAACAUGUACCUUCGGAGACACCUGUAGUACUCCUUUAUAAUCACCCAGUUACGUUGUGAUGUUUGGUAGUACCCAAAGCGUUCCUCCGGUAAACGGGAGUUGCAUAAUCUCAUAGUUACAGGAACAUGUUUAAGUCAUGAAGAAAGCAAUAGCAAUAUACUAAAUGAUCAAGUGCUAGGCUAACGGAAUGGGUCAUGUCAAUCACAUCAUUCUCCUAAUGAUAUGAUCCCAUUAAUCAAAUGACAACACAUGUCUAUGGUUAGGAAACAUAACCAUCUUUGAUUAAUGAGCUAGUCAAGUAGAGGCAUACUAGUGACUAUAUGUUUGUCUAUGUAUUCACACAUGUAUCAUGUUUCCGGUUAAUACAAUUCUAGCAUGAAUAAUAAACAUUUAUCAUGAAAUAAGGAAAUAAAUAAUAACUUUAUUAUUGCCUCUAGGGCAUAUUUCCUUCAGUCUCCCACUUGCACUAGAGUCAAUAAUCUAGUUCACAUCGCUAUGUGAUUUAACACCAAUAUUCAUAUCUACAUGUGAUUAAUACCCAUAGUUCACAUCAUCAUGUGAUCAACACCCAAAGGGUUUACUAGAGUCAAUAAUCUAGUUCACAUCGCUAUGUGAUUAACACCCAAAAGAGUACUAAGGUAUGAUCAUGUUUUUCUCGUGAGAGAAGCUUAGCCAACGGGUCUGUCAUAUUCAGAGCCGUAUGUAUUUCGCAAAUAUUCUAUGUCCACAAUGCUCUGCACGGAGCUACUCUAGCUAAUUGCUCCCACUUUCAAUAUGUAUCCAGAUUGAGACUUAUAGUCAUCUGGAUUGGUGUAAAAGCUUGCAUCGUUGUAACUUUAACGACGGGCUCUUUUAUCACCUCCAUAAUCGAGAAACAUCUCCUUAGUCCUCACUAAGGAUAUUCUUGACCCAUGUCCAGUGAUCUACUUAUUAGAUCAAAAUUGUAUUCCUUUGCCAAACACAGAGCAAGGUAUACAAUAGGUCUGGUUCACAACAUAGCAUACUUUAUAGAACCUAUGACUGAGGCAUAGGGAAUGACUUUUCAUUCUCUUUCUAUUUUCUGCAAUGGUCGGGUCUUGAGUCUUACUCAACUUCACACCUUGUAACACAGGCAAGAACUCCUUCUUUGGCUGUUCCAUUUUGAACUAUUUCAAAAAUUUAUCAAGGUAUGUACUCAUUGAAAAAUCUUAUCAAGCGUCUUGAUCUAUCUAUAUAGAUCUUGAUGCUCAAUGUGUAAGCACCUUCACCGAGGUCUUGCUUUGAAAAACUCUUAUUCAAGUAUCCUUUCAUGCUAUCCAGAAUUUCCAUAUCAUUUCCAAUUAACAAUAUGUCAUCCACAUAUAAUAUUAGAAAUGCUACAGAGCUCCCACUCACUUUCUUGUAAAUACAGGCUUCUUCAAAAAGUCUGUAUAAAACCAUAUGCUUUGAUCAACUCAUCAAAGCAUAUAUUCCAACUCCGAGAUGCUUGCACCAGUCCAUAGAUGGAUCGCUAGAGCUUGCACAAUUUGUUAGCACCUUUAGGAUUGACAAAACCUUCUGGUUGCAUCAUAUACAACUCUUCUUUAAGAAAACCAUUAAGGAAUGCAGUUUUGUUUAUCCAUUUGCCAGAUUUCAUAAAAUGUGGCAAUUUCUAACAUGAUUCAGACAGACUUAAGCAUAGAUACGAGUGAAAAACUCUCAUCGUAGUCAACACCUUGAACUUGUCGAAAACCUUUUGCGACAAUUCUAGCUUUGUAGAUGGUAACACUAUCAGCGUCCGUCUUCCUCUUGAAGAUCCAUUUAAUCUCUAUGUCUCGCCGAUCAUUGGGCAAGUUAAUCAAAGUCCAUACUUUGUUUUCAUACAUGGUAUCUCAGAUCUCAUGGCCUCAAGCCAUUUUGCGGAAUCUGGGCUCACCAUCGCUUCUUCAUAGUUCGUAGGUUCGUCAUGGUCUAGUAACAUAACUUCCAGAACAGGAUUACCGUACCACUCUGGUGCGGAUCUUACUCUGUAAGACCUACGAGAUUCUGUAGUAACUUAAUCUGAAGUUUCAUGAUCAUCAUCAUUAACUUCCUCACUAAUUGGUGUAGUAGUCACAGCAACUAAUUUCUGUGAUGAACUACUUUCAAAUGAGGGAGCAGGUACAGUUAACUCAUCAAGUUCUACUUUCCUCCCACUCACUUCUUUCAAGAGAAACUCCUUCUCUAGAAAGGAUCCAUUCUUAGCAACGAAUGUUUUGCCUUCGGAUCUGUGAUAGAAGGUGUACCCAACAGUUUCCUUUGGGUAUUCUAUGAAGACGCACUUCUCCGAUUUGGGUUCGAGCUUAUCAGGUUGAAAACCUUUUUCAUAUAAGCAUCGCAACUCCAAACUUUAAGAAACAACAGCUUAGCUUUACUGCUAAACCAUAGUUCAUACGGUGUCGUCUCAGCGGAUUUAGAUGCUGCCCUUUUUAAAUGUGAAUGCAGCUGUCUCUAAUGCACAACCCCAAAAUGAUAGUGGUAAAACCGAUAAGAGACAUCAUAGAUCGCACCAUAUCCAAUAAAGUGCGGUUACGAUGUUCGGACACACCAUAACGUUGUGGUGUUCCAGGUGGCGUGAGCCGUGAAACUAUUCCACAUUGUUUUAAUUGAAGACCAAACUCGUAACUCAAAUAUUCGUCUCCACGAUCAGAUCGUAGAAACUUUAUUUUCUUGUUACGAUGAUUUUUCCACUUCACUCUGAAAUUCUUUGAACUUUUCAAUUAUUUCAGACUUAUGUUUCAUCAAGUAGAUAUACCCAUAUCUGCUCAAAUCAUUUUGUGAAGGUCAGAAAAUAACAAUACUUGCCACGAGCAUCAACACUCAUUGGAUCGCAUACAUCGGUAUGUAUUAUUUCCAAUAAGUCAGUAGCUUGUUCCAUUGUUCCAGAGAACGGAGUUUUAGUCAUCUUGCCCAAAAGGCACGGUUCGCAAGCAUCAAAUGAUUCAUAACCAAGUGAUUCCGAAAAUCCCUCUUUAUGGAGUUUCUUCAUGCGCUUUACACCGAUAUGACCCAAAUGGCAGUGCCACAAAUAAGUUGCACUAUCAUUAUUAACUUUGCAUUUUUUGGCAUCAAUAUUAUGAAUAUGUGUAUCACUAUGAUCGAGAUCCAACAAACUAUUUUCAUUGGGUGUAUAACCAUCGAAGGUCUUAUUCAUGUAAACAGAAUAACAAUUAUUCUCUAACUUUAAAUGAAUAACCGUAUCGCAAUAAACAUGAUCAAAUCAUGUUCAUGCUCAAUGCAAAUGCCAAAUAACAUUUAUUUAGGUUUAACACUAAUCCCGAAAGUAUAGGGAGUGUGCGAUGAUGAUCAUAUCAAUCUUGGAACUACUUCCAACACUCAUCUUCACUUCCCCUUCAACUAGUCUCUGUUUAUUCUGUAACUCCUGUUUCAAGUUACUAAUCUUAGCAACCGAACAAGUAUCAAAUACUCAGGAGCUACUAUAAACACUAGUAAGGCACACAUCAAUAACCUGUAUAUCAAAUAUAUCCUUGUUCACUUUGCCAUCCUUCUUAUCCACCAAAUAUUCAGGGCAUUUCCGCUUCCAGUGACCAUUUCCUUUGCAGUGUAAGCACUCAGUUUCAGGCUUUGGUUCAGCUUUGGGCUUCUUCAUGGGAGUGACAACUUGCUUGUCAUUCUACUUGAAGUUCCCUUUCUUUCCCUUUGCCCUUUUCUUGAAACUAGUGGUCUUGUCAAUCAUCGACACUUGAUGCUCUUUCUUGAUUUCUACCUUUGUCGAUUUCAACAUCACGAAGAGCUCGGGAAUUGUUUUCGUCAUCCUUUGCAUACUAUAGUUCAUCACGAAGUUCUAGUAACUUAGUGAUGGUGACUAGAGAAUUCUGUCAAUCACUAUCUUAUCUGGAAGAUUAACUCCCACUUGAUUCAAGUGAUUGAAGUACCCAGACAAUCUGAGCACAUGCUUACUAGUUGAGCGAUUCUCCUCCAUCUUUUUAGCUAUAGAACUUGUUGGAGACUUCAUAUCUCUCAACUCGGGUAUUUGCUUGAAAUAUUAACUCCAAUUCCUGGAACAUCUCAUAUGGUCCAUGACGUUUAAAACAUCUUUGAAGUCCCGAUUCUAAGCCGUUAAGCAUGGUGCACUAAACUAUCAAGUAGUCAUCAUAUUGAGCUAGCCAAACGUUCAUAACGUUUGCGUCUGCUCCUGCAAUAGGUCUGUCACCUAGCGGUGCAUUAAGGGCAUAAUUCUUCUGUGCAGCAAUGAGGAUAAACCUCAGAUCACGGAUCCAAUCCGCAUCAUUGCUACUAACAUCUUUCAACACAAUUUUCUCUAGGAACAUAUCAAAAUAAACAUAUGAAAGCAACAAUUCAAGCUAUUGAUCUACAACAUAAUUUGCAAAAUACUACCAGGACUAAGUUCAUGAUAAAUUUAAGUUCAAUUAAUCAUAUUACUUAAGAACUCCCACUUAGAUAGACAUCCCUCUAAUCCUCUAAGUGAUUACGUGAUCCAUAUCAACUACACCAUGUCCGAUCGUCACGUGAUAUGGAGUAGUUUCAACGGUGAACAUCAAUAUGUUGAUCAUAUCUACUAUAUGAUUCACGCUCGACCUUUCGGUCUCCGUGUUUCAAGGCCAUAUCUGUAUAUGCUAGGCUCGUCAAGUUUAACCUGAGUAUUCCGCGUGUGCAACUGUUUUUGCACCCGUUGUAUUUGAACAUAGAGCCUAUCACACCCGAUCAUCACGUGGUGUCUCAGCACGAAGAACUUUUGCAACGGUGCAUACUCAGGGAGAACACUUCUUGAAAAUUAGUGAGAGAUAAUCUUAAAAUGCUACCGUCAAACAAAACAGAAUAAGAUGUAUAACAGAUAAAUAUCAUAUGUAAUCAAAAUAUGUGACAUGAUAUGGCCAUGAUCAUCUUGCGCCUUUGAUCUCCAUCUCCAAAGUACUGUCAUGAUCUCUAUCGUUACCGGCACGACACCAUGAUCUUCAUCAUCUUGAUCUAUAUCAAUGUGUCGUUACAUGGUCGUCUCGCCAACUAUUGCUCUUGCAACUAUUGCUAUCGCAUAGCGAUAAAGUAAAGCAAUUAUUUGGCACUUGCAUCUUAUGCAACAAAGAGACAACCAUAGGGCUUCUGCCAGUUGCCGACAACUUCAACAAAACAUGAUCAUCUCAUACAACAACUUAUAUCUCAUCACGUCUUGACCAUAUCACAUCACAACAUGCCCUGCAAAAACAAGUUAGAUGUCCUAUACUUUGUUGUUGCAAGUUUUACGUGGCUGCUACGGGCUGAGCAAGAACCGUUCUUACCUACGCAUCAAAACCACAACGAUAGUUCGUCAAGUUGGUGCUGUUUUAACCUUCGCAAGGACCGGGUGUAGCCACACUCGAUUCAGCUAAAGUGAGAGAGACAGACACCCGCCAGCCACCUUUAAGCACAAGUGCUCGUAACGGUGAAACCAGUCUCGCAUAAGCGUACGCGUAAUGUCGGUCCGGGCCGCUUCAUCUCACAAUACCGCCGAACCAAAGUAUGACAUGCUGGUAAGCAGUAUGACUUGUAUCGCCCACAACUCACUUGUGUUCUACUCGUGCAUAUAACAUCAACGCAUAAAACCUAGGCUCUGAUACCACUGUUGGGGAACGUAGUAAUUUCAAAAAAAUUCCUACGUACACGCAAGAUCAUGGUGGUGGCAUAGCAACGAGAAGGGAGAGUGUUGUCCAUGUACCCUCGUAGACCGUAAGCGGAAGUGUUAUGACAACGCGGUUGAUGUAGUCGUACGUCUUCACGAUCCGACCGAUCCAAGUACCGAACGUACGGCACCUCCGAGUUCAGCACACGUUCAGCUCGAUGACGAUCCCCGGGCUCCGAUCCAACAAAGCUUCGGGGAUGAGUUCCGUCAGCACGAUGGUGUGGUGACGAUGAUGAUGCUCUACCGGCGCAGGGCUUCGCCUAAACUCCGCGACGAUAUGACCGAGGUGGAAUAUGGUGGAAGGGGGCACCGCACACGGCUAAGGAACGAUCCGUAGAUCAACUUGUGCGUCUAUGGGGUGCCCCCCGCCCCCGUAUAUAAAGGAGCCAGGGGGGAGGAGGCGGCCGGCCAAGGAGGGCGCGCCAAGAGGAGUCCUACUCCCACCGGGAGUAGGACUCCCUCCUUCCUUGUUGGAGUAGGAGAAGGGGGAAAGAGGGGGAGAGGAGGAAGGAAAAGGGGGCCGCACCCCUUGUCCAAUUCGGACCAGAGGGGGGCUGCGCGCCUCCUUCCUUUCGGCCUCUCUCCUCUAUUCCCGUAUGGCCCAAUAAGGCCCAUAUACUCCCCGGCGAAUUCCCGUAACUCUCGAGUACUCCGAAAAAUACCCGAAUCACUCGGAACCUUUCCGAAGUCCAAAUAUAGUCGUCCAAUAUAUCGAUCUUUACGUCUCGACCAUUUCGAGACUCCUCGUCAUGUCCCCGAUCUCAUCCGGGACUCCGAACUUCUUCGGUACAUCAAAACUCAUAAACUCAUAAUAUAACUGUCAUCGAAACCUUAAGCGUGCGGACCCUACGGGUUCGAGAACUAUGUAGACAUGACCUAGAACUAUUCUCGGUCAAUAACCAAUAGCGGAACCUGGAUGCCCAUAUUGGUUCCUACAUAUUCUACGAAGAUCUUUAUCGGUCAAACCGCAUAACAACAUACGUUGUUCCCUUUGUCAUUGGUAUGUUACUUGCCCGAGAUUUGAUCGUCGGUAUCCAAUACCUAGUUCAAUCUCGUUACCGGCAAGUCUCUUUACUCGUUACGUAAUGCAUCAUCCCGUAACCAACUCAUUGGUCACAUUGCUUGCAAGGCUUAUAGUGAUGUGCAUUACCGAGAGGGCCCAGAGAUACCUCUCCGACAAUCGGAGUGACAAAACCUAAUCUCGAAAUACGCCAACUCAACAUGUACCUUCGGAGACACCUGUAGUACUCCUUUAUAAUCACCCAGUUACGUUGUGACAUUUGGUAGUACCCAAAGCGUUCCUCCGGUAAACGGGAGUUGCAUAAUCUCAUAGUUACAGGAACAUGUAUAAGUCAUGAAGAAAGCAAUAGCAAUAUACUAAACGAUCAAGUGCUAGGCUAACGGAAUGGGUCAUGUCAAUCACAUCAUUCUGCUAAUGAUGUGAUCCCAUUAAUCAAAUGACAACACAUGUCUAUGGUUAGGAAACAUAAUCAUCUUUGAUUAAUGAGCUAGUCAAGUAGAGGCAUACUAGUGACUAUAUGUUUGUCUAUGUAUUCACACAUGUAUGAUGUUUCCGGUUAAUACAAUUCUAGCAUGAAUAAUAAACAUUUAUCAUGAAAUAAGGAAAUAAAUAAUAACUUUAUUAUUGCCUCUAGGGCAUAUUUCCUUCAGAGACUGCCCUGAUAAGUGAACCAGCUGCCAAUUGUGUUGAAAUGACAUUUGUUUCUUAGACCAGUUCACUGUCAUAACACCCCUGGAUUCCAACCAAUCCAUCCCAAGAACUAUAUCAUAACAACCCAAGGGAAAAAGCUUGAAAUUGGAAUUGAAAGUGACCCCCUGAACCGAGUACUCACAGCAAGGUAACUCCAGGGUGCAGCUAGUAAUGGCUCCAUCUGCCACCUUGACCUUCAAAGGUGUUUGCAUAGGACGAAUUGUUGGCCAGGCUUGAGCUAUCUCUGCAUUGAUAAAACUAUGAGAACUCCCGGAGUCAAUAAGCAUCAGCAGAACCUUGCCUCCAAUGUUGCCGGUGAGCCGAAAAGCUUUGGGCGCUUCAGUACCAGCAAUUGCUGCCGCUGACAACAAACACAGGUCCUCUUCAGAGCUCUCGUGUUGGAGAGAGGUUGGUUCUGGGGAUGUUGGUGGAGAUAACAUGCCCACUAACUCUUCCACAACAAGGAGUUGCACUGUAGCAGCACAAGUGUGGCCUAGGUUCCAUCUCUCGCCACAAGUAAAACACAAACCACGCGCCUUGCGAAAUGUGCGCAGGGCCUUGAGCUUCUCAUCCACUGGUGACUUGGCGAUGUCGAGCCCCCGACGUGUGUCGAGCGCUGUGGGUGAAGGCGUGGAAUUUGCUGUACGUCCCAUCACUGGAGAUGUUGGCACAGCGACCGCUGAAGGGGGCCUCGCCGAGAAACGCCCCGACCGAGUGUUCGAGGCCCCGACAUGAUGCAUCCCCAUGCUUUCAUGUUCUUGGCGAACCAUCUCCACCACCUCUUCCUGUAAAGCAGCAAGGGAGACAACAGUUUCCAAAUCAGGAGGUCGAUGUAACAUAACAGCUACUUUGAUAUCAUGACUGAGAUCUUCCACAAAAUGGGUGGUGAAAAACAAAGGAUCCCAAGAACCAUGGUGUGCUAACAAACUAUGCAUUGCUAUAUUAAAUUGCUCGGCAUAUUCUAACACUGAGCCGGCUUGCUUCAGUUUAGAAAACUUCCGCAGCAACAACUGAAACUCAGAACGACCAAACUUAUCCAGCACAGCAGCGCAAAACGGAUCCCAUCCUGUGAUCUUCAGGUGAGCCUUAGACCACUCCAACCACAAAGCCGCUGCGCCGAUGAAAUGGACCACAACGGUGUCCACCCACACCUUCGGAUCAAUGCCACAGACGCGGAAAUAAGCCUCACAACGAAGACGCCAACCGGUGGGUUUGUCGCCAUCAAACUCUGGGCAUUCCAUAUGCUUGUUGUUGGUGGAUCUGCUCCCACCAAAAACAGCGCUGCUGCCCACCAACUGAAGGGACGGUGGAGGCGGUAAAGGCGCGGAGGGAAACGGAGUCUGAUACGUACCAUUUGCCGGGACCAGCGUAGUGAGGAUCGGUCCCUCACUAGCCGAAACCCGUGGAAGAAGAGCCCCGUGGUGGCCAAUCUGCCCGUGACCGUCGUCACUCUGCCGGAUGUGGAGAAGUGGCGCGUCCGCCUGGGUCGAAUCUGGUGCCGGCCUGCUGGUGGACGGAGCACCCGCAGCGAUUUUCUCCAACUGCGCCCGAAUAUCGCCGAGGUCCGCCUGGAGUUGUCCCACCGCCGCAUCCAUGGUAGGCCGCCAGGCUGCGAGAUCCUGGACGACCGGCUCGAGGGCGACGACCGCCGGCUCCAUCUUCGCGACCGCCGGCUCCAUCUUCGCGACUGUGGUAUCUCAACCCACCAGGGUUCAAAUCGUGGUGCUAGCAUUUAUUUCUAAAUUUAUUUUAAGAUUUCCGGCGAUGCGCAUUCAGUGGGAGGAGACGUUCCCGUCGACGACGAGGCGCCUACGGUGACUCAAAUCUCAAGUGAUAUGCCGGCUCAGUUUUUCAAAGAUGCUCAUAAGGGUAGGAUGUGCGUGUUUACGUUCAUAAGGAUGAGUGUAUGCACGUGUAUACGAGCGCUUGUGUGUACUGAUGUUAAAAAAACAUGCAUCGAGCCGGUUCAUCACGGUGAACGAGACACUGCAACGGCAAUGCGCGCCCACAGUCAGUACUACUUUGUUCCAUGCGGCGACAGGAAUCUCUCAUCAGUCACAUGGUCUACAAUCAAGUGUGUCGCCGUGUCAGCUCCUAGGGAUGGGCGCUCAUCUUUUUAUUGGUUGGCAAAGUACUUAAUCUCGCGCCCACUCCAAGAUACGGUUUCAAGCCAUACAAAACGUACGGUUUCUAGCCACUCCAAGAUUAGUUUUGCCUACCUAAGUCGUGCGUACAAGAUCUGACCAUGUGUUAUGUUAUUAUUAGAGUGCAGCGCCGCAUGUGAUCUCUGUUUUGCAUUGUAGUAUUCCAAGACAAGAUUGGUUGACAAGUGUAUUAUUGGGCAUUGCAUUGUAGUAUUCCAAGACAAGAUUGGUUGACAAGUGUAUUAUUGGGCACGUGCCUCUGGUGAUGGUGGUUUUGGCGCCAUUGUCAGCCGAUCUUAUCUACUUCUACUACGUAGUAGGAUUGGAGCUAGUAUCGGUAACGAUAAAGGCAAUCCUGACAUAGUAUUCCAUAUCUGUAUGGCAGGGAGCACAGAAUCAAGCACGCGAUCCACGCUGCCUACGUGGCCCGUUAAGGACCGUUCCUGCCCGUAGAGCCAACCACUACGCUGCACGCAAAGUUUGUUUGUCGGAUUGGAUUGGUAGGCACUGUACCGAUGACCGUUGAUUUGUACCGACUGGCGGUCCGCAAAAUUUGUCCCGGCAGCCGCAUGUGCACCCCUUCCGGUACCCACGCCCGCGGCAUCGAUCCAGAUGCAUGCAGGAGGCUCGGCCUUUGGUCCUCCCUGCUCCACUCCACGAUCCACAUGCAGCAAAGCAAAGCAAAGCGAGCAAGCGAAAACAAAAAUGCAUUUAUAAACAAGAGACAUAGUUCUAUUUUUACAUUGCUAGUACCAUAUUCAUUUAAACUAUUUAAACUUAACUACAAACUAGAUCGGCAGCAUCCCUAUUCUAUGAAGAUGUAGGGAGUGUCGGCGGUGACGAUGCCCUAGUGUAAAUAAUAUUUAGAAUUGAUUUGACAUGUAUUUUCUUUAAUUCAUAAUAGGUUUUUAUUAUGCUACAAUUGUAUUAAUUGGAAACAUUAAUACACAUGUGAUAUAUAACCAAACCAGGGUUCCUAGGAGGCCUAUAGCCACACUAGCCCAUUAGGACAAGGUGAUAAUCGCUGGUUUCCCGGACAUUAUUUAUGUCAAUUAAUAGAGGGUUCAUGUCAUUGGGCCGGGAAUGACAUGAUGCACAUACCCAACAUAAGUAUUGCAAAGUGAUCGAACCACGAAGCUCGCCGUUGCGAUAAUUAGGCAAUGUUGUAAUUAAGCUAAUCCUUACACCGUGAGUUGAUGUUUAAUAACUAUCUCUAGAGAUUGCUUUUGUUGCAUCAAACGUUACACCGUGAGAGGGUGUCCAUAAAGGUGUAGCGCAGUAUUUCAAUGGGAUAUAUAGAGGCGUAUCACCAAGAGCGGGAUUUGUCCAUCCGCGUGAUGGAGAGAUACUAUGGGCCCACUCGGCGAGAUCACAUCCGAAAGCUUACAGUACGUGACUACGUCACGGGAAUGUGAUAUCACAGGAACGAGUUAAAUCAUUUGUCGGCAGCGGGAUUGAACUAGGUAUGAUGAUACCGACGAUCAGGUCUCAGACGAAUGAAGUAUCGAACUGACAAAGGGAAUAUGACUCGAAGUUCAUGGUUCAACGACAUAGAUCUUCGUGGAUGCACAUGGGUCAUUAUGGGCAUCCAGGUCCCCCUAAUGAUCAUUGGACGGAGAGGAGUCUCAUCCAUCUCUAGAUUAACCACGAACUGUAGGGUAACACACUUAAGUGUUCGAUGAUGCACUAGAGAUAUUGUUCGACGUUGUCGGAAUCCAGGUGAGACUCCAUCAACAUCCAAUUUCAAACCAAACCAUAAAAAUAUGACAUUACCUCAUAUCGACGUGAUGGCCACCAUUGAUAUCCAAAUUUUAACCAUAGAAACAUGACACUACCUCCAUCAAUAUCGUGCGUGAUGUCCCCAGUUUCCUUAUAAACCUCGAAAUUAAACAACCACAUCUAUGGUAUGUAGCUAUCGGAAUUACUUGGCGCGACGUGGCCAUGCCCUUCAACUGUCCUGAUCUACAGGCCAAUAGGCCAGGUCCUUGGCGAUGCAUAUCGAUCGUCCGCCCAAUGUUGAACACGACGAAUUUGCACAAGUCGUGGUACAAGAAUUUGGCCGACAUCCACCGCUCUGGCUGAACUCGAGGUAGUUAUCUAUGGAGUAUAUACAGUAGGUGACUGACGGCGAUGUGGCCACCACCCGGCCAGUGUGUUGUCCGGAAGUUAGUCAUAUGUCGUCGGGAACAACAUCAUUCAAAUCAUUUUCACGCAUACUAAGAAUACUAGGCCCGUAAGGGAUUCAUUUCUCUGAAUUUUUUGGAAUUUUUUUAUGGCCUCUAGAAAAUUACACUUGUUGCUACGGGACCUGCAGAGGUAGAAUUUGCACGUGAAGUCCGUUUUUUCUAGACCAUUCUGACGUGGUAGUAGAAAAGAAAAGCGAUGGUGGACACGUAUCUUGGGGAACUGCCCACGCGUCAUCAACGAAAUCAAACGCUGACCAUGCUAUUUCUCCGCUGCCCACCGCGUGUCCAGUUCUCUAGAGUUCUCUCGCUUCCCCCCACCGCCCGCAGCUAGCCCACCAGCCCACCAGCCCACCGCAUAUUGCGCUAUAAAAGGACAGGCUUACUUGCCUGGGUCUUCACUUCGCCUUUCUAGGUCAUCCCUCCGCCACUGCGUCUGUCUUCCAAAAUCUGGCGGCGCACACAACCAAUUCGCCGCCGGGCCCCCACCUCUCCACCCGCAUGGCCGAUCUGUGAACAGAGCAAGCAUCAAUGGAGUGGGUUCCUCCUAAUCUUUCCACUCCCCUCUCUCCUUUGGAUCAAGCUCCCUCCACCUGGAGGAAGGGCUGAAGCCGGGUCGAUUCCGUCGUGCGUCAGAGCUUAGAGGCGUCACCGCCGGGGCGCGUCACCGGGCCACGCGCCGAGAGAGCAGCGCGGUUACUGGCUGCACGUUGGAGCCUUGGAGGUUGCUGGCUCGCAGCAGGCUGGGGCUGCUGGACAUGGAGAUCAGAUGGAGCAUAAGUCAGCGAGUACUUCAAUCUCAAGUUUGAGCUCCCCGUCCAGCCCCAUGUCUUUGUCUUCACAUGAAUCAGUGAGUACCACCCAGCAAUAUCUUUGGUUCUCCUUUUCAUAUUUCUUAGUUUUGCCUGCUACUUGGUGCUUAUUUUCGUAUACAUCACUUCUAGAGCAGAGAUAUGACAACUUCUGCACUGGAAAAUGCUGUAAUUUCAGCCAAAAGCCCAAAAUUGAGGAAUCGUGUUCAUGCAGAAAAAACUACUCUACUUUUUUUGGUGUGUUCAUUAUCUUAAAAGCCUUUCUCGCAAUCGUUUCAAGGUAGAAUGUAAAUGUAGCUGCAGCUAAUUUGUGUGCAUAUGUUACACAAAUAGCUUAUAUAUAAUCAGGUUUCUGGUAGGGACAGAUGAUAAUUUCUACUAGAUUACUAAUAGUAUUCGCUUCCUUGCAGGUCUUCUACUAUAUUUAGAGGUGGAUGCAAAUUUCUGCACAAUCUUCGGCUUUCUUGAUGUUGCACUGAUUAUGUAAUCUGCGUAUGGGUUGAUAAUGAGGUAGCUUCCAUGGUGAAUUUUUUUAAAUACUAGAACAAUAUUGAAUUAUUUUUGUAGAUUCUUAAGUAGAACUUCUUCUCUAUUGGAAUUUAAUUUAUCCAAGGAGGAUCAAUACCAUCUUGUUUUUGUUUCAGUUAUAAAGCUCGGGUUGUCUAAACCUGAAAAUUCAGUGAGGUGUAAAUGUACAGUUCACUAUUAUACUUCAACAUGAUCAGGUGUUGUUCUUUCCCCUCUCGCACUUAUGAGAUCAUUACUUUGUACCCCCUCUUAAAGAAAUAUAAGAGUGUUUAGAUCACUGUAAUUACUAUUCUUAUUCCAUCAUAUUCCGUAUCAAGCCGAUAUCUCUUGUACAAUAGUCGUUUUCACAAAUAAAUAUUUUAUGGUAUGUUUUUUUCCCAUCAAGCUGAUAUCCCAUUAUGAUAUGUUUUUGCUUUGCACAUGCAGGAUGCCUUUAAUCAAAAGGAUUGGUUUAGUCAACCCAUAAGAUUGAUUCAUUACCUUGGAGUUCCAGAGGGAUUUUGUGUAGCAUGUUCUUCAGGUACUACAUGUUUAUCUUGCUAAGAAUGAUUCAAGUAUGGGUUUUCUAGACUACUUGUUGUAUAUCAGUGAAUGAUAAAGUUAGUUUUGAAAAUUUAUCUCUCUUUUGGCUUAUUUGUAUAUUUGAAUGUUUGAAAAAAUAAAGUUAGUUCGUCAGAUCCUUCUUUGUGUGGGUUUUGUAGGUUACUUGAUGGUAGGAAAAUGUUUGUGACUCCAAAUUUAAUAGGUUAAGAGGAUAGUAUCUUAAUCAUUUAGACUUUUGCUGCCUACGUAACGGAAGCAUGAGUGUGUGGUUAUGAGAUUCAUGCUAAUAAAUCAUUAUCAGAGAUCUCUCAUUUGCUUAUCAACUGUUAUCUUUUUAUAUAUCUUAUAAUUGUCACACUACUUGGUUCCUUUCAUUCCAUCCUAAUUUUAGAGAUCUAUCACUUGCUUUCACAAUGUCACUGUCUUUUUAGACAUCUCUUAAUUUUUGGCCACUUCUUAGUUAAUUCCUUUCCAAGUUAAUAUAUGAGGUAGUUUUAUGGGCUGUAGAGUAUCUUGAUUCUACUAUUUCCCCCAGUUAACAGAAAUAAGAUAAAUUGUACAAUUUUUUGACUGAACUAUGAGUUUUUGUGAUAGCUGUGGCCAGUUCUAUACAGUAUGAGCAAAGAGGAAAGAGUGUUCAUUUGAGUGUCGAUGAAGUGAAAGUUGUCAGUUUAAGUUGGUUCCGAGGAUUCAACCUGUUCUAUUCUACUACAGUAUGGGUUGUAGUGACAUAUGUGCAUAAUAUAUAGUACAUAUUCUUCUUGAUUUUUAUGUGGCCCAUGCUAAUAGGCCAUACAGUCUCUAGAGAUGGGAAACGAAUCAUUAAGCAUUUUAGAGAUUGUUGUCCCAUCUUGUAUAGAAAUAACAUAGAUUGCUUCCGCAGCUGAGCGACUACUUCGUCGGCCAAACACCCGGCUCCUGCUGCAAAGAUGUCCACUGUCCAAGACCCGUGCGUAUCAUUAUUCUCCCUGUCUGUGCCGCGCAACAGCAGUUUCCUGUAGCCCUGCCUCCAUCAGCUUCUCCCUCUUCCUUGCAAUCGAUGAGUUCAGCAUACAAGCUUCAGAUGGAUAAGCUCCUAUGUACUGCUGUUCUAGACAAACAAUGACAACGACGCCUUCUUGUUUUUAGUACUAACCAACAUUUCAGAGAACAAAGUUAUUGCUGUAAGUAGCUUUUUGAAAGUUCCUUUUCAGUUUUCAGUCUUGGGUACAUGAAAAAAAUGAUGUCACAAUCUGAAAAAGUUUGGCCAUGUAUGUCAAUUCUAGCUGAGAAUUACAUAUUAUGAUAGUAUAAUGAGAUGCUUGUGUGCGUUAGUUUACGGUUUUACGCCAUGACUUUUUUUCCCUUCCUUUAAUUGAUCUAAAUGCAAUGGAUGCCAUGCACUGUACGAAAGUAUCUGAAUUUGCUCACUGGGUACAGGACAUCGGCAACAGCAAUAUCUGCACUCACUAUACGGUUGGCAAAACCGAAUUUCAGCUCCGAUCAAAGCUUCUACUUCAUGCCUGCGCAUUCUAAAAAUUUAGUGAUUUUUCCCACUAAAGAUAUAACAUAUCUGCUACUAUUAAUAGCACGUGAUCCGUUUUUCUUCAUUUAUGCUAACCGUCGGAACUAAUAAAAUGCUUGAUGAUAUUAGUGGAUCUCUUUAUAACCGUAUAUGUCUGGUUGUUCCAAGAUAAUUGUUAGCUGUGAUAUUAUAUCAACUGAUUAUCUUGCUGAUGCUGAUCCGCUCUAUCCAUCGGAAUUCUUACAUUCUGUAGUCGUUAAAAAUUUUGCACAUCAUGAAAUUGGUUUGGAAGUUAAAAAAUUAUUGACGUAUAUAAUAAAGGACAGUGUUUUUGUAUUUUUCAGGUUGUCCAGAAUGCGCUGGCCGCUGGGCGUAAGUACCAAGUGGCUGGCUGUUUAGUUAGAUUGCCGUGGCUGGUUGUUUAGUUAGAUUACUGACAACAAUGUCCCAUUCAUUUGUGCGCAUGAUGAUCAGCAAGAUUCAUGGACAGCGCAAAUUAAGUAGUAGAGCAGAGCGUUUAUCUUAUCAAUAUGUAUAUCGUAUGUGGAAAAUUAUCGUAUGUGGAAAAUUAUACUCCCUCCGUCCGGAAAUACUUGUCAUUGAAAUAGAUGUAUCUAGCUGUAUUUUAGUUCUAGAUACAUCUAUUUUCAUCCAUUUUGAUGACAAGUAUUUCCGGACGGAGGGAGUAAUACCCUUGAAGACCCAUAAGGAAGAAUUGACUCUUAAUGCUAUAGUCAACCGCGACAACCAGCUCUGAAUGCUACGUUAAAAAGAAUGAAUAAGCCAACACGACCGGCAGGUCUAAUCGUACUCCCAAGUGUAUUUAUUUCCACAUUGGCACAAUGUAUAAAUUUCAUCAACAAACAAAAAGUGCACAACUGUUAGAUAUGUAAUCAAUCGUCUGUCACCUAGCCACAAAGACAUAGCUGCACGGUACACUAGAUUUUCAACAACUAAAAAAUCUCAAACGAAUUAGCGAGGCGUGGCACGCCGGGCAAUCUAUAUUGAUAUGUAUCAUAUAGAUCUCUUAUGUAGCUGCCGGGCAAUCUAUAUUGCUGCGUAUCAUUUAGAUCUUUUAUGUAGAUGAACCGUUUUCUUGUAUGCACUACUUUGUCACGAUCACCCAACUAAAUGUAUGAACUACUUUGCCAAAAAAAAAUCUUGUGACCACUCACCAAAUAUUAAAAAAAGACCAAAAUAGCUAAUUAGUUCAUGUGGCGCGGCGUGCCGCCGCGCACUACCCGCUAGUUGGUAGAGACGGGGUCUCCAAGAGCACUGCCUUGAGGGGUUGAGGUAGACCAGGCGGGUGACCUCUUCAAAGAUCAAAGGGUAGCUCCGCCAGCCACACUAUAAGGUCGUGUGCGUCACAGUGAGUCGGUGAUACUGCGAGCACGAAGAAGAGGUCAUAGCACAAUCUUGCACCCCACAACCUACCACCGUGUGGCGUAUUGGUGACCACACCGAGGUAUUGGUCAACGCGCACUAUUUUGUGGUGUGGUCUCCAUGCCGAGGUGCAACCGCUUCUUGCACCACCACAAGUGCUUAGGGAAGACGAACCGUCUAAGCUUCGCCUCUGGGGCGCAGUCAAAUGCAGAGGUGAAUUAGUUCUGCCGGAGGCCUUGCGCGAGUCUCUCCUGGUUUUUUGUUGAAUGGCAAGCCAUAGACCGUGUUGAGCGCACGAUUAGCCACAAUGGGAGGUCCUGGAGGCACGUGUCUUCCCCGCUGGCAAGGAUAAGGCGCCUAAGCCCUCCUAAAAUUUUAGGAGUACUUGGUAUAUGCUGGCCAUUAAUUGGCACCAAUCUCCCAUUAAUUGGCAUAUUCGUGCAGUUAAUGGGUUGUAAUAUUUUAUAGCCAUUAAUUGGUGCCAAUUAAUGGCCAGCAUAUAUACUAGUAGAAAAACACCUAAUAGUUCCGGUUCGUAAGGGCCUUUAGUCUCAGUUCAUGAACCGGGACUAAUGGGUCGUUACUAAUACCUUCAUCCAUUAGUCCCGAUUCAAACACGAACCGGGACCAAUGUGCCUCCAUCUGGCCUGUGCGCCGAGCCCAGUCAGGGGGCCUUUGGUCCCGGUUGGUGGCACCAACCGGGACCAAAAGUCCAUGUUUUUUUUAGAAAAGUGGCUGCUUUAGGGGUUUGGGGGGUUAUUUUUAGGUUGUUAUUAGCUAGUUAAUAGAGAGAAGUGUCCUCUCUUAUAUCUUCGUCCUUGGUUUACCAACGCUGCUGCUAUAUAUGUUCAUUUCACCCGCUGAUAUAAUAACUCAUGCAUGCUCGCAUCAUACAUCAUCAUAUAUAAUAACAAGUCCUAUUAAUCAUGCAUCAUCAUACAACUUCUACUCGUUAUUAAUAAUAAGUCAUACGAUCAUCAUCCUCAUAGUCAUCGAACCCAACCCUACAUAAUUGUUCUUAGCACAUGAUCAUCAGUAUGAGGUAGGACCUAAACACCCUUAAGGUAAAAUAGCAUAAAACAAUAUAGACCCUGACUCUCCAUUAUGAAGAAUGGCGAUCAUCCUGUCUCCAAUUCUUGCCCUUCGCUGGUUUUUGCUUCCAAGAAGCUCCUUACGACUGUCCAUACAUUUUUUCCGUUCUUUGAUUUUCAUGUCUCCAGUUCUUUUAGAAACCCGGUAUGGGCAGUUGAGAUUCGUAGGAAGACCUGGUUGUAUGUUCAAAACAUGAAGGGUACCGUGCGUAUACAUCAGAUGAGGCACACAAUCAUUCGGGAUUUUCUGUUGAAAAACAUAGUAAUAACUUCGUAGUUAGCAAUGAUGUACUAGUUUUAGAGUGUGCAAAAAGAUGCACGGAUGUCAUAAUAGUAAAAAAUCUUACCAGGGUAUCUCCAUGGUAGUUACCGUAGUUCAACACGUGCACUAGUGGCACUUAUUGACCAUAAUGUUAAGGAGUUUGAUUGUAGAUAUUGUAAUUCUCAAGAUCAGUACAAAAUGCGACCAGAUGAUUUUUCUCCUGAUAAGUUAAUUUGGGGCCUUCGGUGUAGUAGGUUCUGUCUACCAUCUUCCGCACAUUCUUUGAAGAAUGAAAAUAAGUUGUCAAUGGAAAUAAGUUGUCAACUAUUUUGAAAUAAACAAUAUAAAUUACUUAAUAACUAUGUUAAACUCACAUGGAGGAAGAAUUGGAGGUGUAUCCACAAGGACGCAAAUCGAAGGUCUCUCUUGCUCGAUUGUAGGAUCACCAAGAUCCAUGGUGACAAGCAUACCCUCAUCAAAACCAUACAUCUUGCAAAGUGCUUCCCAAUUUUUGCAACCAAAAUAGGUUACACUCUGAGCAUUGUACAACUUUACUUGAAAAUCCACACCAUGAUGGGUACUUAGGAUAAUUUUUUUGGUUUCCAUACUUUCAUGGUCUUCAAAACCCAUCCUCUCCAAGACAUAGCGUCUUGCAAAGCAUGGGAUAAGCUAGUCGAAUUGGAAAAGAUGAAAAAUACACGUUAAAAUAGUUGAAGUCGUGCUUAAUUACGAAAAAAAUUAUUGUCGUCGUUGCGUACCGUAUGAACAUCGAAGGUCUCCUCGAGCUUAAUGCUGAAGCGCCGAUCUUCGUCCAGCUCAAUGAACCUGUUGCACAUACCUCGGUCGUCGUGGCACCAGUUGCACUCCCCUGGGCGGUUUUCGUCGUCCGAGUACGACAUUUCCGGCCUAUGUUCAUAAUUCAAAUAUUAAACUAGAUCAUUAUUAUUAAUCAUGGGUUGACUAUCGGUGAUGUACGUAGCUCCUCCUUUCAUUCCCGAGUCCAUUAUUACACCAAAUUGUCUAGCACACGGGAAUGAAGGAGAACUUAUCCAAUAUGAGCAUUCAAUAAGCAAAACCAUAUCAUAAAAUAAGCAAAACCAAAUCAUAAAAUAAAGUAGUAUUCAAAUUAGCAUGCAUUCAAUAAUUAGAAGCAAAAGUACAUCAUCUCUUGGUGUCCGUGCAUCGUCGAAUAUUAUCACUAAUAUAGCAUCACUAAUACAACUAGAACCGUAGCGCCCGAUGGGUAUCGUCGCGGGCGGUGGACACCCAAAGAUAAGGAACCAUCACAGGAUCAUAGCUCCAGUGAGAUCCCUGAAGAACCUGCCAGGUAUUGUCGAACCUGCCCUCCAAUGCAACCAUGUAGCGACGGACGUGCUCAUCCUCCUCGCUGACACGGUGACGUACCACCUCCGCGGUGUCCGGAAGCCUCAGCACCAUCACUGGCCCACGCGACCGCCACCAAACAAGGAUCGGGUCAACAACGGGCUGCCUCCUCACCAACCUACGUCCCCCGGAAGGUAGCACCUUCCAAUACCAGCCCGGCGGAGCCCAGUCCCGAACAUUGCCCUGAUCAAGAAGGCCUCCACCGCCGAGUCGACGACGACGAGGAUGCGGGAUAGGCAUCGCCGAAGUCCAUGCGGGAACUACUUCUAUAUAUAGUUAAAUAAAGUAGUUUUAUUAAUUAAAUCAACUAGCUAGUUCAACUACUAAGCACUUACUAUAAAUAAAUAAAGUAGUACUUACUAAAAACAAAGUAGCACUUACUAGAAAUAAAUAAAGUAGCCCUUACUAUAAAUAAAUAAAGUAGCACUUACUACAAACUACUUCUAUAUAUAGUAAAAUAAAUUAGUUUAUUAAAUCAACUAGCUAGUUCAACUAUAUAUGAAGCACUUACUAUAAACAAAAUAAAAUUGUACUUACUAAAAAUAAACUAGUAUUUUUCUAACUAAUUAUAUUAAACACUUUCUCUUCUUAUUUUUUUCCUUUUUCUAAAUACUAUGAACAAAAAAAUCAUUAAAAUUCUAUGAACAAAAUUAAUUACACAAUCUAAAUAUCACCAAAAAAUCUAUUAACAAUAAUAUCACCACACAUGCAUAUUCAACAAUAAUAUCACCAAAAAAAUCUAUUAACAGAAAAAAAAUCUAACACAAUAUGANNNNNNNNNNNNNNNNNNNNNNNNNNNNNNNNNNNNNNNNNNNNNNNNNNNNNNNNNNNNNNNNNNNNNNNNNNNNNNNNNNNNNNNNNNNNNNNNNNNNNNNNNNNNNNNNNNNNNNNNNNNNNNNNNNNNNNNNNNNNNNNNNNNNNNNNNNNNNNNNNNNNNNNNNNNNNNNNNNNNNNNNNNNNNNNNNNNNNNNNNNNNNNNNNNNNNNNNNNNNNNNNNNNNNNNNNNNNNNNNNNNNNNNNNNNNNNNNNNNNNNNNNNNNNNNNNNNNNNNNNNNNNNNNNNNNNNNNNNNNNNNNNNNNNNNNNNNNNNNNNNNNNNNNNNNNNNNNNNNNNNNNNNNNNNNNNNNNNNNNNNNNNNNNNNNNNNNNNNNNNNNNNNNNNNNNNNNNNNNNNNNNNNNNNNNNNNNNNNNNNNNNNNNNNNNNNNNNNNNNNNNNNNNNNNNNNNNNNNNNNNNNNNNNNNNNNNNNNNNNNNNNNNNNNNNNNNNNNNNNNNNNNNNNNNNNNNNNNNNNNNNNNNNNNNNNNNNNNNNNNNNNNNNNNNNNNNNNNNNNNNNNNNNNNNNNNNNNNNNNNNNNNNNNNNNNNNNNNNNNNNNNNNNNGGGGCGGGGCGGUGACGGCGUCGGGGCGGGGCGGCGGCGACGAGGUGGCGGCAGGGGACGGUGUGCGGCGUCGGGAGAGGAGGAGGAGAGAUCGAAGUGGGAAUGCGGUUCUGAAAUUUUCCUAAGUGCUACUUAUAUAGCAAAGGCUUUGGUCCCGGUUCGUGACACAAACCGGGACUAAUGCCACCUUUAGUCCCGGUUGGUGGCACCAACCGGGACCAAAGGCCUCUUUUCAGCAGCCCAAAGGGCGGGAAACCAAGACCUUUGGUCCCGGUUGGUGCCACCACCCGGGACUAAAGAGUGGCAUUGGUCCCGGUUGGUGCCGCCAACCGGGACUAAAGAGGGGCAUUCGUCCCGGUUGGAGCCACCAACCGGUACCAAUGGACCCUUCUAAUUACUUAUUUAUUUUCUGCAGCUGUUUUUUAGUUGAUUCUUUCUGCAGCUGUUUUUUAGUCCCACCUCGCCAAGCGAGAGGCACUCACAGCUGUUUAUAAGCCCUGAGUGCAGAGACGAUGAAGAACAGGCUCAAUGCUCACCUGCACGUUGGUUCGCUUCAAGCCUUGAGGAAUAGGGUAGAAUGCACGGAGCUAUGUGCAGUGCAGUUUACACUAUCUCGAAAGGCUUGAAGCGAAUUAACUAGCAUUGCGCCUCUUUUUUAUUAUUAAUGACUUUUUACCACUCAGAAAUAAAUAGAAAAAAAUAAAUAUAGCAGAAAUAAAAUCUAUAUAAAAAGCUACUCAGAAAUAAAUAGAAGAAAAAAUAGUUGUGAUUAACUUUACUAAAAAAUAGUUGUGAUUAACUUUACUAAAAAAUGAGCAUAGAUGCUCAUUUUUAAUGACUUAUUACCACACAGAAAAAAAUAGAAAAAAAUAAAUAUAGCAGAAAAGAAAGAAAAACUAUAUAAAAAACUACUCANNNNNNNNNNNNNNNNNNNNNNNNNNNNNNNNNNNNNNNNNNNNNNNNNNNNNNNNNNNNNNNNNNNNNNNNNNNNNNNNNNNNNNNNNNNNNNNNNNNNNNNNNNNNNNNNNNNNNNNNNNNNNNNNNNNNNNNNNNNNNNNNNNNNNNNNNNNNNNNNNNNNNNNNNNNNNNNNNNNNNNNNNNNNNNNNNNNNNNNNNNNNNNNNNNNNNNNNNNNNNNNNNNNNNNNNNNNNNNNNNNNNNNNNNNNNNNNNNNNGAGCAUAGAUGCUUAUUUUUAAUGACUUAUUACCACACAGAAAAAAUAGAAAAAAAUAAAUAUAGCAGGAAAGAAAAAAACUAUAUAAAAAACUACUCAGAAAUAAAUAGAAGAAAAAUUAAUUGUGAUUAACUUUACUAAAAUCUUUUUUAUUUUUAAUGACUUAUUACAACUCAGAAAUAAAUAGAAAAAAUAAAUAUAGCAGAAAAGAAAAAAAACUAUAUAAAAAACUACUCAGAAAUAAAUAGAAGAAAAAAUAGUUGUGAUUAACUUUACUAAAAAAAUAAGCAUAGAUGCGCUUAUAGAGAAAAUUAAACCUACAUUCAUAAUAAAUUUCUACUGACUUCAGAGAAAUUCAGUAUGAAUUUAGGUCAAAUUCCCUGUAUAAGGGCAUCUAUUUUCAUUUUGAGAGGAGCUCAACAAGGCAGAGAGGGAGGGGCUUAUAAACCGGUGUGAGCCCCCUUCGGUUGGCGAGAUGGGACUAAACUCUAGCCGCAACGAGGACCAACCCUUUAGUCCCGGUUGGUGGGAUGAACCGGGACUAAUGGGCGGCCUUUGGUUCCGGUUCAUGCUUCCAACCGGGACCAAUAGUGGUGGGCCAGGAGCGAGGACCAUUGGUCCCGGUUCGUGCCACCAACCGGGACCAAAAGGUCCAGACGAACCGGGACCAAUGGCCCACGUGGCCCGGCCGGCCCCUGGGGCUCACGAACCGGGUCCAAUGCCCCCAUUGGUCCCAGUUCUGGAUUGAACCGGGACUAAUGCGUUGUCCUGGCCUGGACCAUUGCCCCCUUUUCUACUAGUGAUAUAGCUAUAUUGUACUUGUUACCAGCCUUAUAUAAUGGGAUCGAGGAAGUAAAAUUAGUCAGCCCAUUAAUUGGCACCAAAUCUCCGGUUAUUGGUUUAUCGGCGAUUUUUUUAGAUCUUCCAUUGUUUAUGACGGAAUCUGUAUGACAUCAGAUACAAAAUAGACGGUCCAGAUGCUUCCAAUGUUAAGUGUCGAGUGACGACCUAUGGCUUCACCAACUCCAAUUUAAGAGCCUGUUUGGGACUGGUCUGCUCCUUCAAAUUCAGCUCCGCUUCAGAAAACACAAGCCAAACGGGGUAGCGCCACAAUAUACCGCUCCACAAAAAAACUAGAAUCUGGUGUACAGCUCCGAGUUUUUUAUGAAGCUCUUCAGGGGGUGCUCCAAAAAACUCUAGAAGCUGGACUUGGGUGGAAAUUACCCACCACUGCCACCAGUAAGUGGAUACCCCUUCGUUUCUCCCCCCUCAACCAAUCAAAUAGAUUCUUUCCACCAAAUAUCUCAUUCUUGAAGCUGGAGCUAGAUGGCAGCCAAACAUUCUCCUUGAUAGUACUACAACUUCUAGGUGAAACUGCUCCAAAGUAAAUUUAGUGGAGCGAAACCGAUUUUUGUGAAGCGGAGCAGUCCCAAACAUGCCCUAAGAGUAAAGAUCAAUUUGACAGUGUGUGUGUGUCUCUCUCUCUAAUAUAUAUAUAUAUAUAUAUAUAUAUAUAUAUAUAUAUAUAUANNNNNNNNNNNNNNNNNNNNNNNNNNNNNNNNNNNNNNNNNNNNNNNNNNNNNNNNNNNNNNNNNNNNNNNNNNNNNNNNNNNNNNNNNNNNNNNNNNNNGAAUAUGUGAGUGUUGAUGACCGACACGUAAACGCACCCCGGGGUUCGUCAAUCGUGGAAAUGACUCCGAUACCCCAAAAUAGAGUAAGAGUCCAAGAAACGGGCCAGAAUCGACCCAAACUGUGAUUGUUGAUGACUGACACGUAAGUGCACCUUGGAGUUUGACAACCAUGGAAUUCGCUUUGGGACCCGAAAACGGUGAGUAAUAGUCCAUGAAACGGGCCAGAAUCGGCCAAAACUGCGAGUGUUGUUGACCAACACGUAAGCACAUCUUGGGGUUCAACAACUAUGGAAAUCGCUACGGGACCCCAAAACGGUGAGUAAUAGUCCGCGAAACAGGUCAGAAUUGGCCAAAACUGUGAGUGUUGAUGACGGACACAUAAACGCACCCCGGGGUUCAUCAAUCGUGGAAAUCGCUCUGGGUCCCCAAAACGCUGAGUAAUAGUGCACGGAACGGACUUGAAUCGGCCGAAUAUGUCAGUGUUGAUGACCGACACGUAAACGCACCCCGGGGUUAGUCCAUCAUAGAAAUGACUCCGAGACCCCAAAAUAGAGUAAUAGUCCAAGAAACAGGCCACAAUCGGCCCAAACUAUGGUUGUUUAUAACAGACACGUAAGCGCACCUUGGAGUUCGACAACCAUGGAAAUCGCUUUGGGACCCCAAAACGGUGAGUUAUAGUCCAUGAAACGGGCCAGAAUUGGCCAAAACUAGGAGUGUUGAUGACCAACGCGUAAGCACACCUUGGGGUUCAACAACUAUGGAAAUCUCUUUGGGACCCCAAAACGGUUAGUAAUAGUCCACGAAGCAGGUCAAAAUUGGCCAAAACUGUGACUGUUGAUGACGGUCACAUAAACGCACCCCGGGGUUCAUCAAUCGUGGAAAUCGCUCUGGGUCCCGAAAACGCUGAGUAAUAGUGCACGAAACGGACUAGAAUCGGCGGAAUAUGUGAGUGUUGAUGACCGACGCGUAAACGCACCCCGGGAUUCGUCAAUAGUGGAAACAACUCCGUGACCCCAAAAUAGAGUAAUAGUCCAAGAAACGGGCCAGAAUCGGCCCAAACUGUGAUUGUUGAUGACCGACACGUAAGCGCACCUUGGAGUUCGACAAUGAUGGAAAUCGCUUUGGGACCCCAAAACGGUGAGUAAUAGUCCAUGAAACGGGCCAGAAUCGGCCAAAACUAGGAGUGUUGAUAACCAACUCGUAAGCACACCUUGGGGUUCAACAACUAUGAAAAUCGCUUCGGGGCCCCCAAAACGGUGAGUAAUAGUCCACGAAACAGGUCAGAUUUGGCCAAAACUAUGAGUGUUGACGACGGACACAUAAACGCACCCCGGGGUUCAUUAAUCGUGGAAAUCGCUCUGGGUCCCCAAAACGCUGAGUAAUAGUGCACGGAACGUAUUAGAAUCGGCCGAAUAUGUGAGUGUUGAUGACCGACACGUAAACGCACCCCGGGGUUCGUCAAUCGUGGAAAUGACUCCGAUACCCCAAAAUAGAGUAAGAGUCCAAGAAACGGGCCAGAAUCGACCCAAACUGUGAUUGUUGAUGACUGACACGUAAGUGCACCUUGGAGUUUGACAACCAUGGAAUUCACUUUGGGACCCGAAAACGGUGAGUAAUAGUCCAUGAAACGGGCCAGAAUCGGCCAAAACUGCGAGUGUUGUUGACCAACACGUAAGCACAUCUUGGGGUUCAACAACUAUGGAAAUCGCUACGGGACCCCAAAACGGUGAGUAAUAGUCCGCGAAACAGGUCAGAAUUGGCCAAAACUGUGAGUGUUGAUGACGGACACAUAAACGCACCCCGGGGUUCAUCAAUCGUGGAAAUCGCUCUGGGUCCCCAAAACGCUGAGUAAUAGUGCACGGAACGGACUUGAAUCGGCCGAAUAUGUGAGUGUUGAUGACCGACACGUAAACGCACCCCGGGGUUAGUCAAUCAUAGAAAUGACUCCGAGACCCCAAAAUAGAGUAAUAGUCCAAGAAACAGGCCAGAAUCGGCCCAAACUGUGAUUGUUGAUGACCGACACGUAAGCGCACCUUGGAGUUCGACAAUGAUGGAAAUCGCUUUGGGACCCCAAAACGGUGAGUAAUAGUCCAUGAAACGGGCCAGAAUCGGCCAAAACAAGGAGUGUUGAUAACCAACUCGUAAGCACACCUUGGGGUUCAACAACUAUGAAAAUCGCUUCGGGGCCCCCAAAACGGUGAGUAAUAGUCCACGAAACAGGUCAGAUUUGGCCAAAACUAUGAGUGUUGACGACGGACACAUAAACGCACCCCGGGGUUCAUUAAUCGUGGAAAUCGCUCUGGGUCCCCAAAACGCUGAGUAAUAGUGCACGGAACGUAUUAGAAUCGGCCGAAUAUGUGAGUGUUGAUGACCGACACGUAAACGCACCCCGGGGUUCGUCAAUCGUGGAAAUGACUCCGAUACCCCAAAAUAGAGUAAGAGUCCAAGAAACGGGCCAGAAUCGACCCAAACUGUGAUUGUUGAUGACUGACACGUAAGUGCAACUUGGAGUUUGACAACCAUGGAAUUCGCUUUGGGACCCGAAAACGGUGAGUAAUAGUCCAUGAAACGGGCCAGAAUCGGCCAAAACUGCGAGUGUUGUUGACCAACACGUAAGCACAUCUUGGGGUUCAACAACUAUGGAAAUCGCUACGGGACCCCAAAACGGUGAGUAAUAGUCCGCGAAACAGGUCAGAAUUGGCCAAAACUGUGAGUGUUGAUGACGGACACAUAAACGCACCCCGGGGUUCAUCAAUCGUGGAAAUCGCUCUGGGUCCCCAAAACGCUGAGUAAUAGUGCACGGAACGGACUUGAAUCGGCCGAAUAUGUGAGUGUUGAUGACCGACACGUAAACGCACCCCGGGGUUAGUCAAUCAUAGAAAUGACUCCGAGACCCCAAAAUAGAGUAAUAGUCCAAGAAACAGGCCAGAAUCGGCCCAAACUGUGAUUGUUGAUGACCGACACGUAAGCGCACCUUGGAGUUCGACAAUGAUGGAAAUCGCUUUGGGACCCCAAAACGGUGAGUAAUAGUCCAUGAAACGGGCCAGAAUCGGCCAAAACAAGGAGUGUUGAUAACCAACUCGUAAGCACACCUUGGGGUUCAACAACUAUGAAAAUCGCUUCGGGGCCCCCAAAACGGUGAGUAAUAGUCCACGAAACAGGUCAGAUUUGGCCAAAACUAUGAGUGUUGACGACCGACACAUAAACGCACCCCGGGGUUCAUUAAUCGUGGAAAUCGCUCUGGGUCCCCAAAACGCUGAGUAAUAGUGCACGGAACGUAUUAGAAUCGGCCGAAUAUGUGAGUGUUGAUGACCGACACGUAAACGCACCCCGGGGUUCGUCAAUCGUGGAAAUGACUCCGAUACCCCAAAAUAGAGUAAGAGUCCAAGAAACGGGCCAGAAUCGACCCAAACUGUGAUUGUUGAUGACUGACACGUAAGUGCACCUUGGAGUUUGACAACCAUGGAAUUCGCUUUGGGACCCGAAAACGGUGAGUAAUAGUCCAUGAAACGGGCCAGAAUCGGCCAAAACUGCGAGUGUUGUUCACCAACACGUAAGCACAUCUUGGGGUUCAACAACUAUGGAAAUCGCUACGGGACCCCAAAACGGUGAGUAAUAGUCCGCGAAACAGGUCAGAAUUGGCCAAAACUGUGAGUGUUGAUGACGGACACAUAAACGCACCCCGGGGUUCAUCAAUCGUGGAAAUCGCUCUGGGUCCCCAAAACGCUGAGUAAUAGUGCACGGAACGGACUUGAAUCGGCCGAAUAUGUGAGUGUUGAUGACCGACACGUAAACGCACCCCGGGGUUAGUCCAUCAUAGAAAUGACUCCGAGACCCCAAAAUAGAGUAAUAGUCCAAGAAACAGGCCACAAUCGGCCCAAACUAUGGUUGUUUAUAACAGACACGUAAGCGCACCUUGGAGUUCGACAACCAUGGAAAUCGCUUUGGGACCCCAAAACGGUGAGUUAUAGUCCAUGAAACGGGCCAGAAUUGGCCAAAACUGGGAGUGUUGAUGACCAACGCGUAAGCACACCUUGGGGUUCAACAACUAUGGAAAUCUCUUUGGGACCCCAAAACGGUUAGUAAUAGUCCACGAAGCAGGUCAAAAUUGGCCAAAACUGUGACUGUUGAUGACGGUCACAUAAACGCACCCCGGGGUUCAUCAAUCGUGGAAAUCGCUCUGGGUCCCGAAAACGCUGAGUAAUAGUGCACGAAACGGACUAGAAUCGGCGGAAUAUGUGAGUGUUGAUGACCGAUGCGUAAACGCACCCCGGGAUUCGUCAAUAGUGGAAACAACUCCGUGACCCCAAAAUAGAGUAAUAGUCCAAGAAACGGGCCAGAAUCGGCCCAAACUGUGAUUGUUGAUGACCCACACGUAAGCGCACCUUGGAGUUCGACAAUGAUGGAAAUCGCUUUGGGACCCCAAAACGGUGAGUAAUAGUCCAUGAAACGGGCCAGAAUCGGCCAAAACUAGGAGUGUUGAUAACCAACUCGUAAGCACACCUUGGGGUUCAACAACUAUGAAAAUCGCUUCGGGGCCCCCAAAACGGUGAGUAAUAGUCCACGAAACAGGUCAGAUUUGGCCAAAACUAUGAGUGUUGACGACGGACACAUAAACGCACCCCGGGGUUCAUUAAUCGUGGAAAUCGCUCUGGGUCCCCAAAACGCUGAGUAAUAGUGCACGGAACGGACUUGAAUCGGCCGAAUAUGUGAGUGUUGAUGACCGACACGUAAACGCACCCCGGGGUUAGUCAAUCAUAGAAAUGACUCCGAGACCCCAAAAUAGAGUAAUAGUCCAAGCAACAGGCCACAAUCGGCCCAAACUAUGGUUGUUGAUAACAGACACGUAAGCGCACCUUGGAGUUCGACAACCAUGGAAAUCGCUUUGGGACCCCAAAACGGUGAGUUAUAGUCCAUGAAACGGGCCAG